rnacentral:lncRNA from 1 species
UCCUCUUUUCGUUUUAUUAACUUCUUUUCCAUGUUUUACUCUUUGAAAGGGAGAAAAUGGUGGCUGCUCUUCUGUCUGCCGGGGCAAGGCCUAACUUGGUGACAGACCCGACUAAGGAAUACCUCGGCGGCUGCACAGCGGCUGAUAUUGCACAGCAGAAAGGUUACGAGGGUUUAGCAGCUUUUCUUGCAGAGAAAUGUCUUGUAGCACAGUUCAGAGACAUGAAAAUGGCUGGAAACAUCAGUGGUAACCUUGAGGGCGUCAAAGCAGAGACGUCAACAAACCCAGGGCAUUCAAAUGAAGAGGAGCAGAGCCUGAAGGACACUCUGGCGGCAUACAGAACCGCUGCAGAGGCGGCUGCACGGAUCCAGGGGGCCUUCAGAGAGCACGAGCUCAAAGUCAGGUCAAAGGCGGUGCGGUUUGCUAGCAAAGAAGAAGAGGCCAAAAACAUAAUAGCCGCUAUGAAGAUUCAGCAUGCGUUUCGAAAUUACGAGACUCGUAGGAAGAUUGCAGCCGCUGCUCGGAUUCAGUACAGGUUCCAAACAUGGAAAAUGAGGCGGGAGUUUUUGAACAUGCGGAAAAAGGCAAUUAAGAUCCAGGUAAAAAAAGAUUAUAUCGCCAUCAAACUCUGCAAGACUGCUCUUUGCUGCUUUAGAAUACACUAAAGAUGAAUUUGUUUUAUGGUGGUGCAGGCUGUGUUUAGGGGGUUCCAAGUAAGAAGACAGUACCAGAAGAUAACAUGGUCGGUGGGAGUUCUUGAGAAGGCGAUUCUGAGGUGGAGACUCAAGAGAAGAGGAUUCAGAGGGCUUCAGGUUAGCCAACCUGAGGAGAAGGAAGGCACUGAAGCGGUGGAGGAUUUCUACAAGACAAGCCAGAAACAAGCAGAGGAUCGGCUAGAGAGAUCAGUGGUUCGAGUCCAGGCCAUGUUCCGGUCCAAGAAGGCUCAGCAAGAUUACAGAAGGAUGAAACUGGCUCAUGAAGAAGCUCAGGUGAAAUUACUUUUGUUUCUUUCUAUUUUCUUAACUCACUACAUAUAAUCUAUUUCAAAAACAUGACACAAUUUCACUUAUAAAUAAUGUGUAACAUGUGACACAGCUGGGUAUGAUGUGAUGCAAGAGCUUGAUCAGAUGGCAUGGAGAGCUGAAUUUCAUAGUAAGGAGAAGUGUUGUGGUACUAUUAGUAAAUAUGUGUAAAUGACAAGGGGUAAUUUCGUCUUUUUGAAGCUGUUUUCAGAAAAGAAGUUUCAACGGUAUCAUGGUAAGAUCAAUCCUGGAGGUGGGAGAUUUUGCUUAGAGAUGUCUUGUCAUAAGUCUUUGUUUGGUAGACGGUGUUAGUUUUUGUAAUGCGUUAUGUGACUUAUAUGUUCAAUAACAAUAUAUAAGAUAUAAUAAGAAGACAAAGAAAAAGGCAAAAUACGUGAAAUCCAGAGUAUACAACUGCACAUCGUCUUCCACAAAACUUUUGUUACAGGCUGAUCUCGAAUUCUUGGUGCUUACACCUUGUGCCGAUGUUGAGUUGGACUUCGAGAUGAAAUAAAUAGGAGUUCCUUGCUUCUAAUCGAGAUUUGAUUUCUAUAGAUUAGAGAACGAAAAUGUAGAUUCUUGUAUUUUUUACCUUGCCUGCUCUAAUCAGUUUGCAACAACUCAAGACAGCGUUCUAUGUGCAUGAACUGAAGUCUUAGCGCAUUUUAAGUGGGAGAUUCUUCCCAAAUUACUCCACCAAAAGAUAUAUUAAAAAAAUUAAAAGCAUGAAAGAAAAAGUAAAAUUGUAGAGAAACUUAGGACUUUAAUCUAUUAUGGAACAAAAGGAUGAAAAAAAUACGGCACCAUCUAAAAUAAUCUCCCAUAGGACAAGGAAGUGGUUAAUGACAAUUUGCCCCAUUAAUGAAAUCAAUAUGAACCCUUAGAUCAGAAUUCUAUGGGAUAUAACGUGAGCCGUCGGAUCAUUAGAAGAAAAUAGAUCAAUAUUUAGAAGAAUGCCAUUAAUGAAACUCUCCCUUAAGCCGUCGGAUUUUCUGUCUUUGUUUUAAUCUUGGCCUUCAGAUCUCACAUCCAAACUCUUCUCUCUCGUCUGGGUCCCACAGAUGCAUUAAUCUUUUUUCUUCUUCUUCAUUUCUCCUACAACCAUACUCAACUACCACGGAAAUUCAUUCUCCUCACCAACAAAAGUUUUCUUCUUCAACUUUUCAUCCACAAACCUUCACCUCUGUUUCUUGGGGAUUUUCGACAGGUUAGGACGCCGUGAAACAGGUCAUGUACGUCGUCCUUAGUUCUGAAAUCGGUUGAUAAGUGUAAACUCUCUCCUUCUCUCUCUCUCUUCUGUUUCUCUCUCUCUCUCUCUCUCUUUAUUGUUGUUUGUUUCGGUUUAGUCAUAUAAACUGUGUGUUAACCAUAUGAGUCAGAUUAUAAAGUUUAAUAUAAUUUGGUUAAAGUAUGAAGCAUGAUAUUGUAGAAUAAAUCAUUUUUGUCUAUGGUACAAUAGGUACAACUAGGUACAACUCUAGUAAAAUGGAAAGUAGUAAAACUGGCAGAACUAGUAUUACUGAUAUUAUUCAUCUGAAACAUACCACUAGUAAACCUGGUAAAACUUGGAGUAACACAUUGAAUAGAUAGUAUUGGUACCACUCGUAUAAAUUAUAGUAGUCAUGGGCAAAGUUGACAUAGUAUAACUGGUCUUACUAGUAUAACUGAUAACUAUUGUUACAUGUAAACUAGUCUAAUUGAUAAUAUUAGUAUAACUGAACUAACUUAUUAAUGAUAAUUUUGGUUUUUAGUCAUUUUCAGGAACUAUGGAUAGUAAUGGGUCUGUGGUGAUACAUUUUGAACAUGGUGAAGAGCAACAUAUUUCUACACUAGUGAUGAAAGGAAGAUAUGAGGAGAUUACUUAUUCUCAGUUGGUUGAUAGAAUAGCCAAGAAAAUGAAGAUCGAUGUAGUUGAGACGAAGCUUCAGUUGAGUUACUUUCCGCUGGUAUUGAAUAAUAAGAGGCCUUGUUAUAUCUUGGAUGAUGAAGAUGUUUUAGGAUAUUUAAUGAAGGUAGAUAAGAAAAACCGACGUAGUGUCUUGCGUGUGGAGCUUAAGGAAAUCGUCGCAGAAAAUCAGAGCAACAAGAUGUUUUCUAUGAAUGAGGAAAAUUACACGAGGUUCUUUUGCAUAUCCUCUUUUCGUUUUAUUAACUUCUUUUCCAUGUUUUACUCUUUGAAAGGGAGAAAAUGGUGGCUGCUCUUCUGUCUGCCGGGGCAAGGCCUAACUUGGUGACAGACCCGACUAAGGAAUACCUCGGCGGCUGCACAGCGGCUGAUAUUGCACAGCAGAAAGGUUACGAGGGUUUAGCAGCUUUUCUUGCAGAGAAAUGUCUUGUAGCACAGUUCAGAGACAUGAAAAUGGCUGGAAACAUCAGUGGUAACCUUGAGGGCGUCAAAGCAGAGACGUCAACAAACCCAGGGCAUUCAAAUGAAGAGGAGCAGAGCCUGAAGGACACUCUGGCGGCAUACAGAACCGCUGCAGAGGCGGCUGCACGGAUCCAGGGGGCCUUCAGAGAGCACGAGCUCAAAGUCAGGUCAAAGGCGGUGCGGUUUGCUAGCAAAGAAGAAGAGGCCAAAAACAUAAUAGCCGCUAUGAAGAUUCAGCAUGCGUUUCGAAAUUACGAGACUCGUAGGAAGAUUGCAGCCGCUGCUCGGAUUCAGUACAGGUUCCAAACAUGGAAAAUGAGGCGGGAGUUUUUGAACAUGCGGAAAAAGGCAAUUAAGAUCCAGGUAAAAAAAGAUUAUAUCGCCAUCAAACUCUGCAAGACUGCUCUUUGCUGCUUUAGAAUACACUAAAGAUGAAUUUGUUUUAUGGUGGUGCAGGCUGUGUUUAGGGGGUUCCAAGUAAGAAGACAGUACCAGAAGAUAACAUGGUCGGUGGGAGUUCUUGAGAAGGCGAUUCUGAGGUGGAGACUCAAGAGAAGAGGAUUCAGAGGGCUUCAGGUUAGCCAACCUGAGGAGAAGGAAGGCACUGAAGCGGUGGAGGAUUUCUACAAGACAAGCCAGAAACAAGCAGAGGAUCGGCUAGAGAGAUCAGUGGUUCGAGUCCAGGCCAUGUUCCGGUCCAAGAAGGCUCAGCAAGAUUACAGAAGGAUGAAACUGGCUCAUGAAGAAGCUCAGGUGAAAUUACUUUUGUUUCUUUCUAUUUUCUUAACUCACUACAUAUAAUCUAUUUCAAAAACAUGACACAAUUUCACUUAUAAAUAAUGUGUAACAUGUGACACAGCUGGGUAUGAUGUGAUGCAAGAGCUUGAUCAGAUGGCAUGGAGAGCUGAAUUUCAUAGUAAGGAGAAGUGUUGUGGUACUAUUAGUAAAUAUGUGUAAAUGACAAGGGGUAAUUUCGUCUUUUUGAAGCUGUUUUCAGAAAAGAAGUUUCAACGGUAUCAUGGUAAGAUCAAUCCUGGAGGUGGGAGAUUUUGCUUAGAGAUGUCUUGUCAUAAGUCUUUGUUUGGUAGACGGUGUUAGUUUUUGUAAUGCGUUAUGUGACUUAUAUGUUCAAUAACAAUAUAUAAGAUAUAAUAAGAAGACAAAGAAAAAGGCAAAAUACGUGAAAUCCAGAGUAUACAACUGCACAUCGUCUUCCACAAAACUUUUGUUACAGGCUGAUCUCGAAUUCUUGGUGCUUACACCUUGUGCCGAUGUUGAGUUGGACUUCGAGAUGAAAUAAAUAGGAGUUCCUUGCUUCUAAUCGAGAUUUGAUUUCUAUAGAUUAGAGAACGAAAAUGUAGAUUCUUGUAUUUUUUACCUUGCCUGCUCUAAUCAGUUUGCAACAACUCAAGACAGCGUUCUAUGUGCAUGAACUGAAGUCUUAGCGCAUUUUAAGUGGGAGAUUCUUCCCAAAUUACUCCACCAAAAGAUAUAUUAAAAAAAUUAAAAGCAUGAAAGAAAAAGUAAAAUUGUAGAGAAACUUAGGACUUUAAUCUAUUAUGGAACAAAAGGAUGAAAAAAAUACGGCACCAUCUAAAAUAAUCUCCCAUAGGACAAGGAAGUGGUUAAUGACAAUUUGCCCCAUUAAUGAAAUCAAUAUGAACCCUUAGAUCAGAAUUCUAUGGGAUAUAACGUGAGCCGUCGGAUCAUUAGAAGAAAAUAGAUCAAUAUUUAGAAGAAUGCCAUUAAUGAAACUCUCCCUUAAGCCGUCGGAUUUUCUGUCUUUGUUUUAAUCUUGGCCUUCAGAUCUCACAUCCAAACUCUUCUCUCUCGUCUGGGUCCCACAGAUGCAUUAAUCUUUUUUCUUCUUCUUCAUUUCUCCUACAACCAUACUCAACUACCACGGAAAUUCAUUCUCCUCACCAACAAAAGUUUUCUUCUUCAACUUUUCAUCCACAAACCUUCACCUCUGUUUCUUGGGGAUUUUCGACAGGUUAGGACGCCGUGAAACAGGUCAUGUACGUCGUCCUUAGUUCUGAAAUCGGUUGAUAAGUGUAAACUCUCUCCUUCUCUCUCUCUCUUCUGUUUCUCUCUCUCUCUCUCUCUCUUUAUUGUUGUUUGUUUCGGUUUAGUCAUAUAAACUGUGUGUUAACCAUAUGAGUCAGAUUAUAAAGUUUAAUAUAAUUUGGUUAAAGUAUGAAGCAUGAUAUUGUAGAAUAAAUCAUUUUUGUCUAUGGUACAAUAGGUACAACUAGGUACAACUCUAGUAAAAUGGAAAGUAGUAAAACUGGCAGAACUAGUAUUACUGAUAUUAUUCAUCUGAAACAUACCACUAGUAAACCUGGUAAAACUUGGAGUAACACAUUGAAUAGAUAGUAUUGGUACCACUCGUAUAAAUUAUAGUAGUCAUGGGCAAAGUUGACAUAGUAUAACUGGUCUUACUAGUAUAACUGAUAACUAUUGUUACAUGUAAACUAGUCUAAUUGAUAAUAUUAGUAUAACUGAACUAACUUAUUAAUGAUAAUUUUGGUUUUUAGUCAUUUUCAGGAACUAUGGAUAGUAAUGGGUCUGUGGUGAUACAUUUUGAACAUGGUGAAGAGCAACAUAUUUCUACACUAGUGAUGAAAGGAAGAUAUGAGGAGAUUACUUAUUCUCAGUUAGUUGAUAUAAUAGCCAAGAAAAUGAAGAUCGAUGUAGUUGAGACGAAGCUUCAGUUGAGUUACUUUCCGCUGGUAUUGAAUAAUAAGAGGCCUUGUUAUAUCUUGGAUGAUGAAGAUGUUUUAGGAUAUUUAAUGAAGGUAGAUAAGAAAAACUGACGUAGUGUCUUGCGUGUGGAGCUUAAGGAAAUCGUCGCAGAAAAUCAGAGCAACGAGAUGUUUUCUAUGAAUGAGGAAAAUCUGAGUGAUGCCAGAGCUAAUGAUGGCAUGGUUGGAGUUGGAGAGUUGGAAAUUGUUCCUCAUAUCAUAUUCUACGGCUUUGAGAGGGAAAAAUAAAGCUUUGAGUGAUUUGCGUGGCAACCCGGAGGAGAGUUUUGCUAGGCUGCCAUCUUACUUGCACAUGUUACAAAGGAUGAAUCCUGAUACCAUUACACGAUUAGAAGUGGAUGAGAAGAACCAGUUUAAGUAUAUGUUCUUUGCGCUUGGAGCUUGCAUCGAAGGGUUCAAGGCGAUGAAGCAAUUGAUAAUAAUGGAUGGAACUCACCUGAAGGGUGUGUACAAAGGAGUGCUUCUCAUUGCCACUGCUCAGGAUCCAGAUCAUCAUCUUUAUCCCCUUGCUUUUGCGGUAGUAGAUGGUGAGAAAAAUGCAAGCUGGGAGUGGUUUUUAACUAUAUUAAAAACUUUGAUACCAGAUGAUCCUCAGCUUGUAUUUUGUACUGAUAGAAACCAAAGCAUCAUCAAGAAAGUACACGAGGUAUACCCAUUGGCGAUCCAUGGAUAUUGCAAUUAUCACUUGUCUAAUAAUGUCAGCGGAGCUUGCAGCAAUGUUAACAAGAAAGGGGUUGCCAAAAAAUUUAGAGAUAUUGCUGGUAUUUACAGUGAGGUGGAGUUCAGAAAAUGCUACAACGAUUUCAGGAAAAUGUAUCCUCAAGCGGCCGAGUAUCUAGAUGACAGUGUUCAUGAGACAAAAUGGGCAAGAUGUAAAUUUCCGGGAGAAAGGUACAACAUAGACACAACCAACACUGUUGAAUCUAUCAAUGGUGUUUUGAAGGAACCAAAGAAAUAUGCGUUGUUGCCAAUGCUUGAUGUGAUCGUGGAAAAGAUAACAUAAUGGUUCAACAAAUACCGUCUAUUAUCUCUACGCGUACCAGAGAGGCAGAUACUAAUCCCACAUGUGCAUGGGAUAUUGCAUCACAUAUAUCCUACGGCUAAAAAGCUGAAGGUGACCGAGCUAAAUACAUUUGAAGGUCACUACAAUGUGCUUGGCGAGGAUGGUCAUGGUUAUUUGGUUGAUUUGAGAAACAAAACAUGCUAUUGAGGUAUUUUGAUAUUGAUCGGUAUCCUUGUGUGCAUGCACUUGCUGCCAUCAUGGCGCGUGGAGAAAUGGCUGAACAUUAUUGUUCUAGGUAUUACUGGAUGGAGCAGUGGACUUUGGCAUAUUACAUGACAAUAUAUCCAGUGCCUCAUCAUUCAACAUGGGAAAGUUCUGAAAUUCCUGAGGAAAUCCUAUCUCAGGUUGUCUUCCCUCCGUAUGUGGAGAAAAAAAAGGAAGACUACAAGUUACUAGAUUCCCGUCUGCCGGAGAAUAUCGGAGGAAGAGAAAGAAGAAGUUUCCACCAUUGAUUGGUGAAAACGAAGAAAGUGGCAGUGAUUGCAGUGGCAGUGAUAGCAAUAGCGGUGGUAGUGACAGCAGUGGCAGCAAGGGAAAUGGGGACGAGGGAGGUGACAACGAAGGAAAUGAUGAAUGAGUCUUACUUGUCAACUUGUUAUGGAACUUGCUUAUGUGUUGUGGAACAUAUUUAUGUGUUGUAGAAUUUAUUUAUGCGUUGUGUUGUUUCAAUCAGGUAAAACUUCAUAAACAUAACAUUCAUAUUUAUGUGUUGUCAUACUGGUACAACUAGUAAAACUAAAAUAGGUUCUACUGGUAUAACUAGUACAACUAUGUCUAGUUUACUAAAAUAGGUUCUACUGGUAUAACUAGUACAACUAUGCAUGUUCUGAAAUUCAAAUAUUCUUUUGGGCUUUCCCUAUUAAUAAAACAAUCAAAUAGUCUAAUUUUUAAGUGUUUGGAUAGGUUUCUUUGUGUUUUGUAUUGGAUUUUUUUUUUUUUUGGAUUUUUAACUCCAUCACAAAAGUUUGUUUGAUCUACCUUAUACUUUUAAGGUUUGUUUACUUGUUUGUCCACAUAUUUUUUGUAAAACAUACGUGACAAGUAUUUUAACAAUAGUGAUGCUUUCAUUGUAUCCGGACAAACAAAUGUAAACAUAAAUAAAUGGUACAACUUAGAUAAUGGUAUUUUUUUUUUGGUACAACUAAUAUUUUCAGGUUUCACUCCCAAAGUACAACUCUGUACAAACCAGUAUAACUGAAUAACUAGUACAACUUUGUGCAGGACAGUAUAACUAAUAAACUAGUACAACUUUGUAGAAACCAGUAUAACUAAAUAACUAAUACAACUUUGUGUGCAUAAUGUGUUUCAGAUAAGUGGAUUCCCAGAUAAGUCCUACAUGUUUUAAUUCAACACUAGUUGUACUAGUUUUUCUAGUUGUACUAAUUUUAUAUUUUUGGGCAUAGUUGAUGCAUUUUUACUUGUUCUAGUUUCCCACCUGUAAAUGCAACCUAUUCAACCACCAAAUCAAUUACACACAUACAAGUUUGGAUUUAGGUUUUAAAACACACACACAUACAAGUUUUAGGUUUUAAAACACACACAUACAAGUUUGGAUUUAGGUUUUAAAACAAACACAUACAUGUUCCAAAAGCAACAACAUAGUUUAGCACUUCCCCAAAUCAGUUUGGCGUAAAAAGAGACCUCAACAAAUGAGAACGCUUGGACACCCUCUUUGGCAUCUCAUCAACUCCAACCGAAGCUGCCUCCUCUAAAGCAUCAUCCACUCCAACAGAAGCUGCCUCCUCUAAAGCAACAUCAACUCCAACCUCACCUUCCUUCUCCAAAGCAUCAUCAUCAUCUACAACCUCAUUUGUCUUGUCCGCAGCAGCUUUUUCCACAGCAGCCUUCUUAAAUCUCUCUGCAGUGUCUGCCAUAAUUUGAAGUGUAGAUUGCUCAUCUCCAUCAUCAUCAAAUCUCUCUUCAGUAUCUACAUUGAACAAAAAUACAUCCUGACUUAGAUCAUCAUCAUUUAAAAUAUAAUUUGAACUUAUAUGUUAUCAUGAUUUACCUUGCAUCAACUUCUCAGCCUCUGCCUCGAUCUGUUUCUCACCAUCUUUCUCAGCCUAUGCCUCAUCACCAUCCUUCUCAGCCUCUGCCUCGAUCUGUUUCUCACCAUCUUUCUCAGCCUCUGCCUCAUCACCAUCCUUCUCAGCCUCUGCCUCAUCACCAUCCUUGUCACCAUUGUCCUCGCCCUCCUUAUCACCCUCAUAAUCAUCCAAGCCCUGCUUCUCAGCCUCUUCAUCACCCUCCUUAUCACCAUGCAUCUCAGUCUCUUCAUCACCCUCCUUAUCACCAUGCAUCUCAGCCUCUUCAUCACCAUCCUUAUCUCUUCUUCUCCCUCCGGAAGCAUAUCCGGUUUCAGCUUCACCAAACUGGAAUGGCCAACUUUCUCUCUGAAUCUUGUCUUGUUCUAACUCCUUCACUCUUGCUGCUAGAAGACGAAUUGCUUCGUCUCUCAAUGCAAAUCCAUCGUCCAUUCUUUUGUUCAACUUCAACUCUAAUUCUCUUAAACUCUCACGACCUGCCUCGCCCCCUGCCUCGCCCCUGGCCUUGCCUUCUGCUUGCUCUUGUUGCUCUCGGGUUCUCACAUCCAUCUCGAAUAGAUCCGGCCAGAAAAUUUUACUCCCUGGUAGGUGUAACGGCCCCAUGGAAAUUCGGUGCAAAACUCCAAAUCUUCUACUGCUUGGAGAAGGAAAUACUCAAUGAAGUAUCCUGCUUUGGACCUUCCUCUUAAAACUGUAGCCAGAAAGUAAAGAACCGCCAUCCUCAGACGAUCGCCACUACCAUCAAAUUUCAUCUUCUGAAGUUUCUCCUUAACAUCCGCUUCUGUCACUUGCAGACCCUUUUCCUUCCCAUCCUUUGUCUUCUUCACUUUAAAAUACUUUCUCGCAAACUUCAUGCUCCCUAUGCUCUGAUAGUUUUCUGGAUAUGAGUGGCAGUAUAAACCAGAGAGGAGGCUAUGUUCCCUGAUGGAGUAUCUAAUUGGAACACCGUUUACCCCAAACCAAGCUUGUCGACCCUUUCCUGUAUGCAUAGUACGAAGUAGCAACAUCCACAAUCCCAUCACUUUUCUUGUUGGGGUACAAUCCAUGUGGAAUAUAUGCUUGAACUGAGGAUGAUCCUGAAACCAACUCUUCUCUGAGGCCUCUAACUUUUUAAUCGUCUUCAGAAAAUCGUGUUGAUGGCACCUUGAGGAGAGCUUGCAACCCUUUCCAUAGUCGCUCGGUUUGAAGAAAAAACCAGCAGGUCUGGCAGCUUCUACGGUCAUAUCAUCCCUCUCAACCUGAAAAACACAAACAAAAUACACUGAAUAAAUAACUGAGUUAUACAGCACAAAAUCACUUAGUUGUACCAGUUACACUAAUUAAAUGAAAAAUAAUAUUACUAGUUCUACCAGCAACCCUAGUUAUACAACGACAACACCAUCUCAUUAAAUAGUUAUACAAAAUACUUCUCUAGUUAUACCAGUAAGACGACCCGUAUAAGAAGCGUAGUUGUACCAGUUAUAUUACUUUAAAAAAAGUGGUUUUACUAGUUAUCUUGAAUCUGUUUACAACAUAUUAUUACCUGUUGAACUAGUUUCAUUCUUUUAGUUGUACUAGUAAUUCAAUACUCAGUUGUAUUAGUUAGACUAAUUAUACUUUUCAUAGUUAUACCAGUUAUAUUAGUUAUAAGAAGUGUGGUUGUACUAGUUAUACUAGUUCCAUUGAUUCUGUUUUACAACAUAUUAUUACCAGUUGAACUAGUUUCAUUCUUUUAGUUGUACUAGUUAUUCAAUACUCAGGUGUAUUAGUUAAACUAAUUAUACUUUUGAUAGUUGUACCAGUUAUAUUAUUUAUAAGAAGUGUGGUUGUACUAGUUAUACUAGUUCCAUUGAUUCUGUUUACAACAUAUUAUUACCAGUUGAACUAGUUUUAUUCUUUUAGUUGUACUAGUUACACUACUUAUAUAAUUACUACAUAUUUCUUAGUUCAAUGCUAUCAUAAAUAAUUCUAAAACCAUUUUAAAUUGACUUGUUUACCGUUCUUGGAGCGUCAUUAUCAACGGCAACCUCGGGUGCGUUUGAAUCUCUGUUGUUAGAUCCAAUCUCCUCACCGUUCUGCUCGUCUACACGAUGUGAAGGACUCUUUGUGGAAGAGCCUGAGGUUACUCGAGGUUGUUGCUGAUUCUCGGCCUCACUCGCUGCAUGAGUUGGUGUUGGCGAUUUUUGUGGCUGACUCGGAAUCACUGGGCGUGGUGUACCCUCGCUAUCGCCAUGAGAAGGCAAUUCUGCUGCUGGUGUGGGGGCAUGAACGCCUUGAUGUUCCGGUGGAGAUGCUGCGGUUUCUCUCACACGGUUCCGAGUCCUCUUGGUUGGAUUCGACGAGGACCCACCGUCCAGACCACUGUCUCGCUUCCUCUUCUUCUCUGUGGUUUCACUCCUCUUCGCCGCUUCUCUCUUUUUCUUAAUGGCGGCUCUACUUUUCGCUGCCGCUCCUUUUCUUCUUUUCACGUCGGCGUUCUUCUUCUUCUCCGAUGCUUCCGCUUUUUCUUUCAUCUUGACGAGCCGAGUUUUUGGCGACUUUGCACACACAAAAUUGGAUACGAAAUUGGAGAUGGGGAUUGUUGUUUAGAGAAGAUUGUGCUUGAAUCUAAGUUUGAUUAUAGAUAGAAGUUUAAAAUCGUGGUGGUUAUGGGAGAGAGAGUUUGAAAUCGUGAGUGGGGAAAGAUGAAAUUGGGAAUUUAGGGUUUUCAAGUUGGGUCGGGUCGGGUUAAUGGGUUCCGGUGAUUGGGUUUGUAAAUAAGUUGAAGUUUCUUGGUUACUUAGUCUUUUUCUUCUAUUUUCGAUUUUUUUUUUAAUUUUUAAACAAAAAUACACAUGGGUCCAUAAUAGAUUUUUUUGAACCAUUUUGUCUCUUCCCAGCAUUUGAUACAGAAACGUAAGACCAACUCCAUCGGAGCCUCUUAGAUGAGGUUCCAAAUAAAAAAGUGAAAAAAAUAAAUGAAAAGGAAAAAGAAAUGAGAGAAUCGCUGCUUAAACUAAGGUUGAUAAGAACCCUUACGUGUCACCUUCCUAUUCGAGGGCCUCUCUCCUUCGUCGGCGUCUCAUGGGAAAAUCCCAUUUUUUCUCUUCCUCCUCCAAGCUCGAUCUCUCCAUCUUCUCUGUCGAUUCUCUGUCAAAUUUUUCUUAUAUAAUAGUUUUUGUUCGUUUGAUUCGAGAGUGUUCGAUUUCCUCUGUAGAGGAUCAUGAACGUUCGUUUGAUUGGAGAGCGAACGAGUGUGAGCGUUUGAUUCGCAUGUGUGUGAUUGAUUAUAACCAAGUUCCGACCGUGCUUGGGUAAAAAUCGAGGAGAUUAAAGGCUUCAUCCAUGGCUCUGAAGAAGUAGAGAGGAUACCAGAUCCUGCUGUUGCCUCCAUUGUCGACAACGCUGUGGCCGAAUCUUCAGGUAUCAUUGUUUAUGCUAAAGGUCCAUCUUUUAUCGUCUUUGGAUCCAUUCCCUUCUGGGUGGUUUGAUAUUCAUUGUCUAGCUUUGAUAAAAUGGGCUUUGUGUGUGUGUGUGUGUGUGUGUGUGUGUUUUCAGGUGGUGGCAAUAAAAGCUUUUCACUUGUAUGGACAAUGCCAGUGGAGGGUUCUUCGAGUAGUGAUAUGGCUGAAUCAUCAUCGAAGCCUGAGAGGUUAGAUAAAUCAAAGACCGAGAGUCAGCAGAAAGCUACUCCCAUUCUUGCCGAGGAUGCAGCAAAGAUUUUCGAUGACAGAAUCUCUGCCGGGAAGAAGGUAUAAGCUUCUAUUUUUGGCAUUGUUUUCUUGUCCUGCCUCUAUUUAUGUAAACUUUUUUUUUUUUUAUCAACCCUCUAUUUAAUAUAAGUGCAAUGUUGGUCUCGGUAUGGAAUCAUGUGUCAUGGUUACGGUAGGUUACUUACUCUAGCUAUUUCUUUAUAUAUAGAGAAUUUGUUAGCACACUGUGGUUUUUAGAAAUGAUGUGAACUCAAGUGUUGGUUCUUGUGGAGCAGCCUGAGAGACUCUUCUAUAGGAAACAUCUAGGUGUCUGGAGUGAGGCUUUGGCUGCAACCAGGCCUAGAGGUGAUUCAGAGGUUUCUGAUUUGGAGAUAGAGCGUGACUUACUAAACAGGUCAAUUGUUUUGAUUUGUGCUGUGAACAUUCAUGGGAUGCAUGCAUGUUUAUAAACUUCCAGAUAGGCAUACUGAUAUUAUUUGCAAAUAAAUUUGCAGUCCUAAAGACGAUCUUGAAUUCUCCUUUGUGCGAGAGACUAUUAGAGAAAAACUUAGUGUAAGUUCUUCUACCCGCAAUUUCAAGUACAAGUGUUGAGUGAUAACUGCUUUUUGAGGCUUUUUAAAUUAUAACGUCAUUUUUCAUAUAACUGUAAGCUUUCUAUAGCAGAUCCAUAUAUAAUCUUCUGCUUUGUAGGCCAUAUGUGACAGAGUAAUUGUGAAGCCCCAAAAAACAGUGAGAAAGCUUGCAAGAGUACAGCAUCUAUACUCUGAGUUGGCAGGGCAGCUAAGAAGAGAAGAUGACGAGAUUAGAUUACGGUUCUUCAUGGUUUAUUUGAAAUAGUUUCAUUAGUUUUUUGGAACUCAAUUCUUGUUAUAUUAUCUUAGUCAUCAUGGUUGAGUGACAUCUUCUCUUACACCAAAAUAUGUUUUGUGUAUUUUCAGUUUAUGUCAUAAAAUCCAAUCAUUCAACUUAUAAAUUCAACUUAUAAAAUAAAAUAAAAAGUUUGUUUUUUAAGAACCUCUUUAAUUACAUUAGCAAGGAUUCUAAACUUCACAAAUUACUAAAUUAAUUAUUAAACUAAUCAUUAGAACCCAUUAUGGACUCUAACCAUUGGACAUGUUCUAACUUUCCUAAACGGUUGAGGGGUUGGUUCUACAGAUGUCUUUACAUAAAUGGUGGCAUUGAAUUUUGAACAUUUAAUUUUAAUUCAAAUUAAAACUGUGUUAAAAAUACUAUAUUGUCUAGAGACUAAAGUUGAAAAAUUAUCCAGUGCGGAUGCUCUUAUGUCCUGCAUCAUUAUCAUCAAAAAGCCAAAAAGCUCACUAUAUAACUCGAUGAUUAAAAAUCAGGAACAGUUUGGUUUAGCCAGAAAAAAAACUCUUAUCUGAAUGCGUGUGAGAAGGAAAAAGAGAAUGCGGGUUGGGUGGAGACUUUCUUGGAGUGGGAUCAUCCCAGUGCCGGAUUGGCUAGUUGGUUGUUCCGGUAUAUUGCAUUCCCUCUUUUUUUUUGUAGGGUCUGAAGUUCAACUCUUGGUGGUGCCUCCAUUUCAGCCUGUUCUCUUGCUCGGAAGAUGUGACUCGUCUCUUCCCCCAACGUACCGGUUUUGUGUUGAGGAAUGCUCGGAAUAGGUUCUUGAUUGGAGAAGAAACCGAUCUAUAGCUACUUCGGUUAGAAGUCCAACUAGAAGAAUUGUAUAGUUUUGUAGGCUCGAGAAGUAACGGCAAUGCGGGUUAGUCUAUGUUAAUUCCAUCUUCAUGAGCUAGUUCUCCUCUAGUAAAUAACGUUAUUGGUUCCACGUAUAUCCCGGAAUGCACAGUUUAUGUUUGUGUAACGAAAACUUAGGUGACGAUUGUUUCCAUUAGUUUUUGGUUUUAGUUUUUGGUUUUUAGAUUUUGGUUUUAGAUUUUGGUUUUUGGUUUUUAACUUUUAGAUUUUGGUUUUGAUUUUCAGCUUUUUGGUUUUAGUUUUUAGUUUUUAGAUUUUGGUUUUGUUGUAUCCUUAGUUUUUUUAAAUAUAAAAUAAGCAAUAUAUUAUUUAAAAAUAAUAAAAAAAUAGCAAUAAAUAAGCAAUAUAUUGAAACUAUUUACAAUUUUAUUACAUAAAAUAUUUUUUUUUUGUUUUUUAGAACUUGAACGACUAUUUUCAAAUUAAUAUAAUAUAUUUUAUUAAUAAAAUAUUUUAAGUUUUAUAAUUUAGUUGUUGUUUAGUGUGUAUAAUAAUUAUUAAAAUUAUUUAAUAAUUUAAUUUAUAGAAAUCAUUAACUAAUUGGUUACGACUAAUACUAAAAUUAUCUAUAUUUAUUUACAUAUAUGAAACACAAAUAAAUUAUUUUUUUAUUGUAUUUUAUUUUAAAAUAAUAAUCACAGCAUUUUGAUAAAUUUCAAUUGUAAAAUCUAAAUAUUUAUUUCUAUUUUAUUAUAUUAUUUUAAAGUAAUGUAUUAGUUAAUUUUUGAAAUUUUUUAAAAAAUACAGUAAAUCCAAAAACCAAAAUCUAAAUCUAAAAACCAAAAAUCCAAAAACCAAAAACCAAAAGCUGAAAACCAAAAACCAAAAUCUAAAAACCAAAAGCUAAAAUCUAAAAACCAAAAAAUAAAACUAAAAACUACUGAAACAAUCAUCACCUAUAUUGAAAACCCACAAAAAUUGGUUUUUGGCUUUUUUUUACAAAUUGGUUGAAAUUUUAAAAAACUAGUUUUUCUAAAUUUUAGGAAAUCUAUUUCUUAAAAAACUUGAUUGACAAGUGAAAUGGUUUUUACAAAACAAAAACCAAAAACUAAAGCAAAAACCACAAACAAUCAACCCAACCUCUUAAUGUGUCAAGGUAGAAACCGGUUCUCUAAUGGAUGAUUGUACUCGAUUCAGAAUCCGGGUUUCGGAUUUUAUUAAUUUACUAAUAUAUAAUUUUUUUUUAAAAGAGUGCCCACUGCAUGGUUAAUGAGAAAGAUCUGCAAAUGGGAGUGAACGAAAAGAAAACGGUUUAUAACUCUAGGCCCAGUGGGUGGGAUUUUAUCUAUAGUUUGAAGUUAGUCUUUAGCAUAAAAGAUUCACGUUGGGAAGGAGAGCGGUGAAGAGUUCAAAGGUCAGAAUCCGACACUUGUGGAGAAGCAGAAGACGUGUCAAGGGAGUGGCAAAGCUCUCUAUGUUCUGUUCCAGAAACUUCUCUUUGCUUGCUGUGAAGAGAGAAGUAUUGACAAGUUUCCUAAACUUCCGAUUUAAAACCAACUAGAUCUCGACCCGCGCAACCGUGCAAAUUUUUGUUUUCAUUUCUUUUUAUAUAAACAUUUUGUUUUCAAUUCUAAAUUGGUAUACAUUAUAAUAUAUAUAUGUGUCUAUCAAUUUUUAAAACAUAAUAAGUUUACGGUAUAUUUUCGUUCAUUGAAUAGAUUGUUUCAAACUUUCACAUGUAUUUAUAUCUUCUUCUAUAUAUAUAUUUUCGGAUUAUUAUUUCAUUAUUAAAAUCGUAACUAUAUAUAUAAAAAUUAGUAAAAUAUUAUUUUAUUGUCAUAUUCAAAGAUAUUGUAACAUUUCACAAAUUUAGAUUUUUUUUAAAAAAUUAAACUUUUCGCUUCAUAAAUUUAUAUUAUCAAGUAAACAAUUAAAGAUUUAGUUUUUGUUUAAUUUUUAAAAUGAACUAUAUAGUUUAAAAUUUAUUUAAGGUAGUAAAGAUUAAUCAUUGUUAGAUAAUAUGAUUUUUGUUAUUAAAAAAAAAUCUUUAUAAUUUUAAAAGUUAACAUCGACAAAUAUUUAAAUAAUUAACAUAUGGAGGUAUAUUAUUACAACAUUAAAUUAUAUCUAUUUAAUUUAUACUAUCUAAAUCCAAUGAAUCAUUUAUUUUUUAAAUCUAAUUAUUAAUAGCCCAAUAAAAAUUUCUUGUAGACCCAAAAUUUAAAUGAUAAGAUUAGAGACUAAAUGUAACAUGAAUUUCUAGAAAUAUGUCCAUUAGGUCAAUUUUUAAAAAAUUCACACAUGAAUCAAGGUUGUGACUUCUGUUUUAAUAUAUAAGAUUGACAAUUAGUGGAUUGGCCCAAGUCUCUUAUAUAUUACUCAAGUCCCUUUCAUAUUUCCGAUGUGGGAUCUUCUCUCCAAUACCCUCCCUCGAGAUAAUGGUGCGUAUAACCAUUAAACUCGCAGAAUCCAUCAUACCUCCUCCGAAAUCACGCUUUAUCACUACAAGAAAACAUAAUCUUAACGAGAGCGGUUUUCCUCGUGAGUUCGUCGUAAAAGAGGCUUUACGACGAAUUAGCGAGGAACCACGUUUGCUCGUUACUCAUCUGUCGUAACACAUAUUUCCUCGCUAAUUCGUCGUAACUUAGCGAGGAAUAUAAUUCGUCGUAAAGACGAAGUAGAUCAUUUCGUCGUAAAGACCACUUCAAUAUUCCACGUAAGGAGGUCGCUAUAUUUCCUCGUAAAUACCUCGAAACGAGUUCCUUGUAAACUACACGUAAAUACCUUGAAAGUGUUUCCUCGCAAAAUACACGUAAUGACCACGAAAGAAUUUCCUCGUAAAAUACUCAUUUAUCUUUCCUCGUUAUUUCCUCGUAAAUGUUUUCUCGUAAAAUACUCGUUUAUUAUUUCUCGUCAUUUCCUCGUAAGGUUUCCACGUAAAUAGGUCGUACAUUAGCUACGAAUUUACUUCGUUUUUAUUAUUUUACAGAAUUUAAAAAUAUAAUUAAAAAAUAAUUAAAAUUAUUUAAUUUAUUAAUAAAAUUAAAAUUUAAAAUAAAAAUAAAUCAAUAUGAAAAUAUUUUUUAUAUAAAUAAGUUUUGAAUUUAUAAUACAACAACCGGAAAAAAAACUAAGGGUCGUUCAUCGCCUGGUAGAAUUCAUCACUCCUCCUCGUAACAUCCGCCUCGUUAUGUACGUCGGAUGACUCGCCUCGAAUGGGAUGUUGUUGUCGCAUGUUCCUCAACAUGGACUCCCAUUCCGGAUUUGUGGCCGCUAUAACGUCCAAGAAGCCCUCGACUCCACCCAUACGAGAUUUUGUCGCGAACAACUCGUUACGCAGCUGAGCGGACUCUCUACGCAGCUCAGUGACUUCAUCAUCCCGUCGCUGACCAUAAGACGAUGUCGCUCUCGGAACAUCGUUGACGGAACCAAUCUCCAACGUCCGUCCCUUUUUUUUAGGGACAACCUUAAAAACAAAAAUAAAUAUUGUUAAUAAAAAUUUAAAGUUAUAUUAAAUGAAUAAUAAAAAAAUAUUUUUUUUGAAAAUUUACCUCCUCGUAAAUCUUAUCCACUUCAAGAGUGGAUAAGGUGACGGGUAAUCCGUCGGUAGACUGCUGGGUCAGCUGAGUCUGGCGGUCUUCAACCCGAGCAACCACGUCGUUGUAGAUUUGCUCGGACUUGCCAUCUACAAAUACGCCCGCCUUGUUCUUGUGGGUCCUCUCGUAAAGUUCCAUAAGAGACGGGAGAUGUCCCGUCUCUUUGGCCUAAAAAACAUUUAAGAAAGUUAGAAUAAAAUAUAUAUAUUAAAAAAUUUAUUUAAUAAAAUAUUUAAUUACCAUUUCCAAACGGACACCGGCGUGGGGUUUUUGGCCCAUAGUGUGAAGCAUCGGCCCGUUUCCGUGCUCAUCGACCGUGUUACGGGAGUUAGAGCAAGCCUGGGCGAUUCUAAUGGAAUCAGGAAGGCGCCAAUAACGGAUGAGGCCAUCCCACACAUCCGUGGUGAGCUCAGCGGGUUUGCCACGCUCAUACCCCUUCACGAUCCAGUCACCCUUCCAGUUGGAGACCGUGUCCAACAAGCGAACUUUCGCCUUCGCGUUAAACUUCUUCCUCACCCUCUCAGUGAUCCCCAAGGCCCAAUUAUAUUUUUGCUGUUGGAAAAAAUAAAUUAACAAUUAGUUUUUUAGAAAGUAUAUAUAUAAAUCAUGAAAAAAUUAAAGUAUAUAUAAUUAAUUAAUAGAAACUUACAUCGUAAAUUUUGAACCACGUUUUUCUGACGUAGUGAGGCGUCUUACUCCAGUUCGGAUGUGCCAUGGAGAAGUAACCUUUGAUCGUGUCGGUUACGUCCGAUGCAAGACAUCCAUCAAUCCCCCACCUGGAAAAUACAAAUUUAAAAUAUAAAUUAUUUUUUAAUGUUAUAAAAGAAUUUUAAACGAAUUAAAAAAAAAUUAAUGCAACAUACCACAAAGUUCCGUCCGGUCGGUCGGGAUCGAUGACUGGUAAACCUUCUCUGCCUGGCAGACAGAGAAUGUCCUCUACAUUGUACUGCGAGUAAGGAGCACUCGGAGGCACUAUCAAAUCGGGAUGAAUAUCGGAGGCCAUCGGAGGAGGCACAGGAGGAGGCAUCGUCGGAUGAGCCAUCGGGGAAGGCACAUGAGGAGCCGAUGGUGCACUAGAAGAAGUAAACCCAGAGACUCUCUGAGUGUACUGAGUCUCGGGGACAGUCUCCUGACCCGAAGAACCGGGGGCUGAAGAAGAGGCCGGGUCUAAACGACUACCCGGCUCACCGAAGAUCUCUCUGUAAUGGGCAGUAAGUCUUCCUUUUCGAACCUAAGAAAAAAAAUUAAAUUUUUAAAAUUAACAUCAACAGUAUAUUUCCCAACAUUAUCCACCUAAUGAAUACUAAAUAACAUAAAAUCCGUAAACCUAUCUAAAUUCCCUAUACUAACCACCUAAUCUAAUCCUAAACUAACCAAAUUAGAGAGGAAUCAGAGAGGCUUACCAUUGCUACGAAAUGGAGAGGAAGUGGAGAGGAAGUAGAGAGGAAGUAGAGAGGAAAGAAAGAGUGAGCGCUCGGGGGUAUAUAUAAGAUUACAUAUCGUCGCAAAUUCGUCGUAAGGUUACGACGAAAUAGCGAGCAGUUACAAAGGCCCGUGUUUUUCAAUACGAGGAAAUUGCGAGGAAUCACAAAGGCCCGUGUUUUUAUAUACGAGGUAUUAACGACGAUUUUGCUUACGUGGAAUUAACGAGCCUUGCUUUCCUAUAAAUAUACCCACAACUCUCAUUCUCAAACCACACACAAACUCCCAAAUCACACCCUAUCUCAAAUCACAUUCCUCAGCAAAAUCCUAUUCAAAUUAUAAAUAUUUGAAAAAAAUAGGAAAAGGAGAAGAUAUUAGAAUUCAUGUGGGCGAGACUUACGUAUUAUAAUUGCUGGAAGUCUUGUCACACGUUAAUCUGGUAUUUUUCUCUUUUUCCUUUUUUUUUUCUAGUUUUUACACUACGAGGUAUUUACGACGAUUUUUGCUUACGUGGUAUUUACGACGAUUUCAUCCAACGUGGUCUUUACGACGAUUUGGGGUUACAUGGAAUUAAAGAGUGUUUUGUUUAAAUCCUUUUUUGUGGUGUUUACGAUGAUUUAUGAUAACGUGGAAUUAACGAGUAUUAUGUUUAAAUCCCUAAAAUCCAAAAACUCUAAACCCCAAACCCCAAACUCCAAACCCCAAACCCCAAACCUCUAAACCCCAAACCCCAACCCCGCGUUCUUUAUUUUAAUAUUUCGUCUUACGAGUCCUUAACGACGAUUUGUGCUUACGUGAAAUUAACGAGUGUUAUGUUUAAAUCCCUAGAAUCCGAAACCCCAAACUCCAAACCCCAUAUUCCUUAUUUUCUACUUCAUAUAUUUCAAACCCCAUCUUUAUUUCCAUUCCAAACCACAUUUCCCACAUUUGCUUAUUCAUAAAACAAACUCCCACAUUACCUUAUUCAUAAAACAAACCCCACAUUAUCUUAUUCAUAAAACAAACUCCCUCAUCUUAUUCAUAAAACAAAUACAUCAAUCGGAUACAUCGACAUUCUCGUCAUCACUAGAAACAUCAUCAUUUUCAUUAAACUCGUCUUCAACAGCUUCGUCUGUGGCAUCAUCGGUAAGAUCUUCGUACUCGUGAUUAUGCGGAUCAAUGAGAAGGAUGUCAUCAAUUUCUUGUUCAGGUUCCUCGACUUCAUUUAUCUGUUCUUCUUGCAAUGGUGGUUCUUCUCCACUGAUGAUUCGUCCUCGAGGUGUAACUUUGAUCACUGCUAACCAAUUUAUACCUGAAUCUCUCAUCCGAGGGUAUGGAAGAAUGCUAACUUGGUCUGCUUGUGAAGCUAAGAUGAAAGGCUUGAAUUUGUUGUACCUUCGUCCACCGUUGACAUCAACUACACCGAAUUUGUUAGACCGAACACCUCUGUUGACGACGGGGUCGAACCAUUCACAUUUGAAGAGGACGCAUUUCAGCUUCAGUAUCCCUGGAAAUUCGACUUCAAUAAUCUCCGUCAAGAUCCCGUAGAAAUCUGUUUCCCCUUUCACACAUAUUCCAUAGUUACUGGUCGCCCGCUGUCUACCAUACUCAUAUGUAUGAAAAGUAUAGCCUCGUGUGAAAUACAUCUGUGAUGUGGUGACCUUUACAAGUGGAGAUUGAAUUACUUCGUGUAACCACUUAGGAUAAUCUGCAUCGUCGUCGUCAUAAUCAACAUGCAAAAAUAAAGAGAAUGUUAAUGAAAUACAGAUCAUGUAUGAAAAAAGAGUUUGAGUUAAUACCUGAUUCCGCAACCACUUAAUGAAGUGUUGAUCUUUCCUUUUGUCUACGUCACUUGUGGAUAUACCAGGAAAUGUUUCUUCGACUUGAGAAACAAAUGGCUGUAAAAUCACAUUUUAUAGGAAUGAAUCUCUCGCAAUUAUACAAUUAAUUAUACUUAUAUGUGUUUCGAAGUGUCAAUAUAUGUUACCUUUCAAAAUAACGCAUCAAUGGAUCUUCGCAAUUGAGUAGAAUAUAGGUGUGUGCACUAUGAGCGUGUUGUUCACUCGACCACCAAACCUCUUUAGACUUCCCACCGAGUCGCCCAAUCUGGCUAAAGAUGUCUGGAACACCAGCAACUGCAUAUGUUGGCGCAACACCACCAUCAUCAUAUCUUCUUGGAGCUCUUCUCCGGGUACGUACUUUUCACGCAAAGUAGUACGAUGUGAAGUGAGAAACUUCUUCCGUCAAACUUCCAGCAAUUAUAGAACCUUCAACUUUGGCGAGGUUCUUUGCUUUUCCCUUCAAAUAUUUCAUGGCUCGCUCAUACUGAUACAUCCAUCCGUAAUGUACAGGUUCACGAAGCAAUGCCUCAUAUGGGAGGUGGACAGCUAGAUGCUCCAUGACGUCAAAAAAUCCGGGAGGAAAUAUCUUCUCCAAGUUGCACAAUAAGAUGGGAAUGUUCUCUUGAAGCUGUUCUACAACUUUUUCUUUAAGAGUGCGUGUGCUCAGAUCCCUGAAAAAUGCUCCAAUGCCUUUUAUAUUCCAAAAAAAUUAAACACAUUGUUAGUCAUAUAUUAUUUUGUAAAUUAUUGUGAUAUAAUACACUACGUACCUGCAAGUGCUUCAUGUACGUUUGUUGGAAGUAGCUCCGCAAAUGCAUAGGGCAGUAGUCGUUGCAUAAAGACAUGACAAUCAUGACUCUUCAUCCCGGAGAACUUUUGACCCUUUUCAACACAUCUAGAGAGAUUCGAAACAUACCCAUCAGGGAACUUCACUUCUGAUGCCACCCAGUUGAACAACACCGACUUUGUUUCUAAAGAUAAUCUGAAUAUCGGAACGGGAACUUGUCCAUUGCUUUUAAUAUGUAACUCGCUUCUUGAGAAAAUAUCCGGCAAGUCCAACCUCGAUUUUAUGUUAUCUUUUGUCUUCCCUGGGACAUUCAAUAUUGUAUUCAUGAUGUUCUCAAAGAAAUUCUUCUCUAUAUGCAUCAUAUCGAGGUUGUGGCGCAGAAGAAGAUCCUUCCAAUAUGGCAACUCCCAAAAUAUACUCAUCUUGUGCCAGUUGUGAUGAACACCGUAAGAAUCAGGCAUAUUACGAGGGACAUGCCAAUUACCACCCCAACGAACUGUUUCGUUAGCUCCGUAGUAGUCGAUUUGCGCUUCAAUUUUUUCUCCAGUUAGAUAUGGAGAAGGAGUGUCUCUCACAACCCUUUUGUGCCUAAACAAAUUCUUGUUUUUUCGGUAAGGAUGGCCAAUGGGAAGAAAUCGACGGUGACAAUCAAACCAACUUGUCUUCCUACCAUUCUUCAGUUGAAAUGCAUCUGUCGUUCCAUUACAAUAUGGACAAGCUAAUCUCCCAUGUGUAGUCCAUCCAGACAACAUCUCAUAGGCAGGAAAAUCACUUAUGGUCCACAAAAGCAUCACUCGCAUUGUAAAAUUCGUCUUCGUUGAACAGUCAUACGUCCUCACCCCUGUUGACCACAAAUCUUUCAACUCUUUUAUCAGUGGUUGUAGGAAAACAUCCAUGGACGUUUUUGGAUGGUUCGGACCAGGUAUUAAUAUGGUCAAGAAUAGCAACUCCCGUUGCAUGCACAUCUCCGGUGGCAGGUUGUAUGGUGUAAGAAAGACUGGCCACAAUGAAUAUUGUCUCCCUGACAUUCCGAACGGACUAAAUCCAUCUGUGCAUAGUCCGAGAUACACAUUCCGGAUAUUGCUAGCGAAAUCCGGAUGUACUUUGUUGAAAUGUUUCCAGGCUCUUGCAUCUGAUGGAUGAGUCAUCUCACCAUCCGUCUGAGUAUGCUCGGCAUGCCAUCUCAUCUUUCCAGCAGUCUGCUCUGAUUGAUACAAUCUUUUCAAUCUAUCUGUAAUUGGUAGGUACCACAUCCUUUGGUACGGUACCCUAUUACGUCCCCGUCCUUGCGGCUUGAAUCGUGGCUUCUUGCAGAAUCGACAUUCUUCUAGCUUCUCAUCAUCUCCCCAAUAGAUCAUGCAGUUGUCGAUGCAAACAUCUAUCAUCUCCGAAGGCAACCCAAGACUAUAAACCAGUUUCUGAAUCUCAUAAUAAGAAUCAGCAGACACAUUGUCUUCCGGCAAAUACUCUUUAAACAAGUCCGCCCAUUCGUUCAUGCAACUUUCAGGUAGAUUGUGAUCAGUUUUAAUAUUCAUCAUUCUAGCAGCUAACGACAAUUUAGAGAGACCUUCUCUACAACCACUGUAAAGUGGUUGAUUCGCCGCGUUUAACAUUUCGUAAAACUUUUUUGCAUCUAUAUUAGGUUCUUCAUCUUCAUCAUGAGUUACGAAUGCAUCAGCUACCAUAUCAUGAACCCUAUCAUAAUCUACCAUCUCCUCCUGAUGGUAACUAUGUUCAUUAUGCAAAUGAUGAUCAACCGGUUCUUUUUCCUGAAAAUUGCUAUUACUACUACUAGCUUCAUUCUGAUCAUAAUUAAAACCUUCUCCAUGUUGAAACCAUAUAUAGUAAUUUGGCGUGAAACUUCUAUUUAUUAAAUGCUUCCAAACAUUUUCACGGUUUGCCAGUUUCGAAUUGUUGCAUUUCCGACAAGGACAGAACAUCUUACCAGUUUCUUGGGCGAGCGGUGUUGAAUCUGCUUGAUGCAUAAAUGUCUCCAGACCCGCAAGGUAUUCUUUCGUCACUCUCCCGUUAGCAUCUCUAUGCAUAUACAUCCACUUCCGCAACUCGUAAAUAGUCCCGGACCCAGCCAUUUUUUUUUCUUUCACGUUUUUUGUUGUUGGUGUGUUUAAAAUGAUGUUCAAACAUCCAUAUUUAUAGGAAAUUUCGAAUCUGGUAGUUGUAAUUUUCCUAUGAAUUUACGACGAAAAUUAAUUAGGUGGCAAAAAAAACGUGUAACACCUACAAAGUUGAUGGAUUCAAAAUUUCCUCGCUAAAUACACGUAAACUAUUUCCUCGUAAAUAACACGCAAAGUUUACGUCGUAUUUACGAGGAAAUAGUUUUUCCUCGUAAAAUACUCGUCAAAUUACAUCCACUUUACGACGAAACACUUUUGUCGUUACAUUACGAGGAAAUAACGAUGACUUUAGUUUUCCACGUAAGUUCCUCGUAAAAUCGACGUAAAUUUCCUCGUUAAACUUCCUCGUUAAGCAUGUGUUUUCUUGUAGUGUAUUUUCUAGUGAUCUUGGCGGAACUGAGUCUUCUAUGGGCCAUCAGCUAAUGGGAUGAUCGGGCCACUGUCCGGACCGGAUUAAUGGGUCAGAGGAUUGGACCCGCUUUGAUACCAUGACAAGUUUCUUGUUGUAAAACCAUACAAAACUCGUUGUAACAUGAAAACCCAAAGAUUUUUUUUUUAUAAAAAAGUUAAGGAAAUCAUAAGUAGCAAAUCAAAAAGAAUGAAGACUAACAUGAACCGAAGAAGUAAAACCAUAGAUGUAGUAUUCACUAAGAUUUUCUAGCACGUUAUCUUCUACUUUUUUUUCAGAAAUCAUAAUGAACAAAAAGAUAAAAUAAAAAGAUAAAUCGGCAGCAAUAAGAAGCUGAGAAUGGAACAAAUCCUUUUGUAUGUGGCUAAUGCUCUGAUAUGAUACCAUGACAAGUUUCAUGGACUUCCAACUUAAAAUCAAUUGGUAAUUAGUGGAUUGGUCAAAGUAUCCUAUAUAUUACUCAAGUCUCUUUCAUAUUUCUGAUGUGGGAUUUUCUCUCCAGUAAGUAUUAACAAAUAAGCAAAGAAAUAUAAGUGAUAGAGAGAAGAAACAAAAAUGGACAAGAGUUCUUAUUAAUAGCUUAAGAAAAACUCUUCUCAAUAACUUAAGCUCUCACAAAAAAUCUCUCACAAAUAUAUUGUUAAGCAACAAGUAUGCAUCUCCUUAUAUAGAUCCUAAAACUUCCUAAACUCUCUUAACUUAACAUAUUUCAUAUUUCCUUUUUCUAAACUUAACUCUAGUAGGAUUAGUAUUGUUUGGUCUUCAAGUUAUCUUCAAGUUUACUUCCAACAAUCUCCCCUUUAAACUUGAAGUUCACUUCUUGUACUCCAAUGAAUUCUCUCAUUUCCUUGAAUUUGAUUCUUCCAAGUGCCUUAGUCAAUAUGUCAGCCUUUUGUUCUGCUCCAGGUACAUGUUGAACCUCCAUUUGAUCAUUCUCGAUACAUUCUCUUAUGAAGUGGUAUCGCUUAUGUAUAUGCUUGCUUCUUCCAUGGAAAACAGGAUUCUUUGUGAGUGCAAUUGCCGACUUGUUAUCUAUGUAGACGGUCGUUUUCAUGUAUGGCGUCUGAGUAACUUCUUCAAGAAGUUCCUGUAACCAUAUCGCUUGCUUCGCGGCUUUGGUGGCUGCCAUGAACUCCGCUUCGCAGGUGGAGAGAGCGACUGUCUCUUGCUUCAUUGAACACCAUGAUAUCGGGCAGUUGUUGUGAUAGAAGAUGUGGCCAGUGGUGCUUCUCCCAUCGUCUUCAUCAAUGUUGUGCCCACUAUCGACAUAGCCUAUUAGCUCCCUUUUCUCUGUUCUUUUAAACGUAAGUCCAUAUGAGCAUGUCCCUCUUAGAUACCGUAGAACUUGUUUGAGUGCCGCGGAAUGAGAAACCUUUGGCUGAUGCAUAUAUCUACUUAGUACACCCACACAAUAUGAUAAAUCUGGUCGUGUGUGUAUUAGGUAUCGAAGACACCCGAUCAGUCUCCUAUAUUCUGUCUCGUCGACAGUUUCUUCAUCUGGUGCCAUUGAUAGUUUCAACCCUGAAUCCAUUGGUACAUGGACCGCAUUGCACUCGCUCAUACCUGAUUCAUCCAGUAUCUUCUUUGCAUAUCUCUUUUUAACAAGAGUUAUACCUUCCUUGCUUUGAAGUCUAGUAUCAUGUCGCUACUAGAGCCAGUGAUAAGGAGAUCGUCUACGUAAACGGCUACCAAUAGAACCUUCUCCUUCUCGUGCUUUCGAAACAAAGAGGGUUCCUUCGAACGCUUCACAAAGUUCAACUCUACAAGCGCUUUAUUCAACUUUUCACUCCAGGCUCGUGGUGCUUGUUUCAAUCAAUACAAAGCCUUGUCGAAUUUGUAUACCUUGUGCUCACUCCCCUUGACUAUGAAGCCUUCCGGUUGCUUCACAUAAACAUCCUCCUUCAAAUCACCAUUGAGAAAGGCUGUUUUGACAUCUAAAUGAUGUAUUUCCCAUCCGUGUGAAGCAGCUAGAGAGAUAAUGAAUCUUAUUGUCUCAAUGCGUGCUACUGGAGCAAAGACUUCCUCAAAGUCUAUCCCAUGCCUUUGAAUAUAUCCUUUCGCAACAAAUCUUGAUUUGUGUUUGUUUAUGGCUCCAUCGGAGUUGCGUUUGAUCUUAAAUAUCCACUUCAACCCUAUUGCAUUAGCUCCACUUGGUAAGUCAACGAGAUGCCAUGUUUUAUUUUUUAUAAUGGAGGAUAUUUUUUUCUCACACGCAUCUCGCCAUACUUUGUCUUCUAUGGCAUCUUUGAAAUCAUAUGGCUCGUCAUUGAGUAAAAGCAACAAGCGUUCUCCUUCUACUUCAGCUAGGAAUAUGUAGUCGUCCAAGUAGCUCGGCGCUUUGAUUACUCUCGUUGAUCUUCGCAGUGGAACAGUCUCGUGAUCGCUUUGAUCAAUGCCGACAUAAGUUUCACCUUCUUCUUGCACAACAGUCUCACUAUUGCCAUCAUGCUCUGUUUCUUCUGCAUCAUCAUCAUCUCUAACUCCUCUGUUACCAUAGUCACCAAACGUGAUCUUCAAUGUACCAGUUAUAUCAUCGCGUGUCUCUGAACUUGAUGUAGUCAAAUCCCAAGGCUUUGAUUCGUCAAAGUGUACAUCUCUGCUCACAACAAUCCUUCGGUUAGAGGGGUCAUAUAACAUAUAUGCCUUUGAUCCUGGCUCGGUUCCUAGAUGUAUUAGAGCUCUGGAUCUUUCAUCGAGUUUCUUAGGGAAUGGAGAAACGAUUUUAGCAUAACCAAUGCAUCCGAAGAUACGCAAGUGUUCUAAGUUCGGUUUCCUUCCCUUGAAGACUUCUUAUGGAGUCUUAAACUCUAAUGCUCGUGAUGCGACCCUGUUGAUUAGAUACGUAGCAUGACGUACUUCCUCUCCCCAAAGGUGUUUUGGUAAGGACAUAUGCUUCAAUAGACUUCUCGACAUCUCCAUAAGUGUCCGGUUUCUUCUCUCAACAACUCCGUUCUGCUGCGGAGAGUAUGGCGCUGUCAAGUGUCUCAUUAUUCCACAUCCCUCACAGAAUUUAUUAAACUCUGUUGAUGUGAACUCACCACCCCUAUCGGUUCUGAAACAUUUAAUCUUUGCCUUCGUCUCGAGCUCCACGAUUGUCUUGAAUUUUUUGAAUUUCUCAAACGCUUGUCCUUUGUCUUUCAAAAGAAUAGACCACAUAUAUCGUGAGUGAUCAUCGAUGAUGACGAAAAUAUAUCUAUUUCUCGCGGUUGUAGGUGGUGUAAUUGGGCCACAAAGGUCACCAUGGACGAGCUCUAACACGUUUUCAGCUCGAUACGCAGUGGCUUUUGGAAACGGAAGUCUUGCUUGCUUGCCAAGAAGACAUGAUGCGCAUGUUUCUUUGUCGACUGAUAUCUUUGGUAACCCUAUCACAAGCUCUUUCUUUACCAUUAUUUUCAAUGAUUCUGAUCCAAUAUGGCCAAGGCGUGCAUGCCAUGUUGUUGCAUCAUCCAGACUACGAGUUUGGAGACAUUCAGACUCGACGCACUCUAUUAUGACUUUGUAUAACCGGUUCUUUGAUCGUUUGGCCUUAGUAAUCAGAUUUCCAUCCUUAUCGUGAAGAGUAAGAUAGUCCUCUCUCAUCCUUACAUCACAACCUGACUCCGUUGCUUGACCAAGACUUAUUAUGUUGCUCUUUAACUCAGGAAUAAAAUACACGUCGGUGAGUGUUCUUCGAUCACCAUUCUUGCAACAGAACACGAUUGAACCUUUCCCUUUUAUGUCUAUGCGUGAGUCAUCUCCGAAUCUUACUUUGCCUGUGAUUUUCUCAUUAAGACUCUUGAAGUAGCUUCGAUUUCCCGUCAUAUGGUUGCUUGCUCCAUUAUCUAAGUACCAUAUGUUGUCUGGAUUUGUGCUCGUCUCAAAGUCUCUAGGUUUUACUUUCCCUUCGUUGAGAUAGACUAUCUCGUGCAUCAUUAAUGUAUCCGCCUCUCUUGUAUCAUCCUCCCUAUUUUCAUAGUUUUUUUGUAGUUUCAACAAUCUAUCCGGACAGCUUGAUGCAAAGUGUCCCAGCUUAUCACAACGAAAACAUAUCAUCUUUGACAUGUCUAUGUCUCUAUAUGAUCUACCACGUCCUCAUCCUCCCCUGUUAUAGGAACGUCCUCCUCGACCUCUGUUUCUAUAAUCUCCUUGAUAAUGUGUCGUCUCUCGGUUUGACUGUGGUUGUGGUGUUUCCGUGUUUGCAUACAUCAACUUGGUUUGGUUUCCUUGUCCUUCUUCUUCUUCUCCACUAACUCGCUCUUCAUAUGCUUUAAGGUCGCCCUAUUAUAUCUUCGAAGGUGGUGGUCUUGAGAUCCAAGACUUGUUCAAGUGAGGCAACUAUAUGGAUGUACUUCUUUCGUGGUAGAGAAGAAAGAAACUUCUUAACCAGUUUAGUCUCAUUGAUGUUUUCUCUUAAUGCGCUGGACUUUGACGCAAUCUCCUAUAGCUUGUCAACAAAGCUAUCUAUUGUGUCAUCAUCUUUCAUCUUAAGACGAUCAAACUCUGCCAUUAGAGUCUGAAGUCUUGCUUCUUUUACUCUAUCUGCUCCCAUGUGCCUCGCUUUGAUUGCUUCCCAAACCUUCUUCGCAUCGUCUAGGUCUCCGACUUGAAGUAUGAGGGCUUCAGGAAUUGAUUGAAAGAGCAAAGCGACUGCUAUAUCGUUUUUCUCUGUUUCAUCGGUUCCUUGUUCAACUACUUUCCAAGCCUUAUGUACUUUCAACAAUGUUUUCAUUCGGAUAGCCCAGACUGUGUAGUUUGUAUUGGUAAGCAUCGGACAGUUGAUGGAUGAAGCUCCUCCUUGCUUUAUCUUCAUCAUCGCACCGGACGCAGUAGCUGUAAUCUCUCCCAUUCUCGUUCUGGCUCUGAUACCAAAUAUUGUUCAAACCUCAAGUAUGAACUUAAAGAUCUUUAAUAAGAACAACUCAACUUCUUAUUAAUAGCUUAAGAAAAACUCUUCUCAAUAACUUAAGCUCUCACAAAAUAUCUCUCACAAGUAUAUUGUUAAGCAACAAGUAUGCAUCUCCUUAUAUAGAUCCUAAAUCUUCCUAAACUCUCUUAACUUAACAUAUUUCAUAUUUCCUUUUUCUAAACUUAACUCUAGUAGAAUUAGUAUUGCUUGGUCUUCAAGUUAUUUUCAAGUUUACUUCCAACAAGAGUGGAGGAAAAAAAGUAAUGGAUGAGAUAAGGAGCUUUGAGAAGGCAAGUUUGUUCGAUCUUGGCCAUCCUCUUCUCAACCGCAUCGCUGACUCUUUCGUCAAAGCCGCCGGUGUAAGUUAUUUCAUCUAUGUGUAAAUAUAUAUAAAUAUAAGAUGGCAUAUUUGUAUUAACAUAGCUUAAACUGGAUUUAAUUAUGAAGGUCGGAGCUUUACAAGCUGUGUCUAGGGAAGCUUAGUUUACGGUGGUUGAUGGUAAAAUCUCCACAUUAAAAAUAUAUAAGUUAAUAGAAACUUUAUAUUUUGAUUAUGAAUACAGGGGCAGGAUUUGACGCCAACAUGGGUCCACCUUCUGAGAAUGCUAGCAGCAAGAAACAUAGGUUUCCUAAUCUUAGAGGUUCGUUCACGAUAUUUGUAAUGUUUGAUUUGUUUAAAAUUUGCCGUGUUUAUAAACUAUGAUUACCGUUUGUUGAGGUCAAAACCGGUCACCAUAAAAUCAAUGCCUGAACGUUCCCGGAAAACCGACUCUCGAUCGAUCCUUGAAAAUUCUACAUUCCUGGAAAACAGUUACUAAAAUAAAAAACAGUUUUUCGCGGAUGCGAACCGAGGAACGUCGAAAAGAGGAUCAGUCUGGAUGAGGUCUCAAUCGUAAGCAAGGACCGACCACCUCGUCCUAGGGCGAGGACCGUCUCAACACGGGUCACCUUGCCCAUGGACGAGGACGACCCACACCGAGAUCACCUCGCCCAUGGGCGAGGACGACCCGCGCCGAGGUCACCUCGCCCGUGGACGAGGACAACCCGCACCGAGGUCACCUCGCCCAUGGGCGAGGACCGACCUCCUGUCCCGAAACCGUGCAUCCUCGUCUAAGUUCCCGUAACACAAUCCUCGGGCCCUUGGACACAAUACCCAUGUCUCGUCUCGCUUAGGAUUAUCAAAGAAAGACUUCGAAAAAAGUUAUAAAAAACUUGGUUGUCGAAACGGAUACCUACCUGCCGUAUAAAACGGCUAUGGUUAGCUUGAACACCAGUUGCCUUAACUAUACGGGGAAUUGGAAUCCUUUCGGAAAAACCAACGGCUGUUUCUUAGGAAAAAUCGUAAAAACGUCUAAGUCCCAACACGGCCCAAAAGGGGCCUGAACCGCGGCUAAACGGCCCACUUAUGAUUUUAGAACAUGAUUGAGCCUAAUGCUGAUAUGAAAGUCUGUUUUUUAUUCGCAGGAAAAGAUAAAUGUCAAGUUUCCGAAGAUAAUCAUGAAGGGGGCUGAUCCGAAAGUCUAUUUUUUAUUCGCAGAAAAAGAUAAAUGUCAAGUUUCCGAAGAUAAUCAUGAAGGGUGACGAAAAAUGGAAAAGCCCAUCUCGCGACGAAUCCGGCCCAGGAAAAGGUGCAAACCGACUUAGAGAGAGUAUAUAAGGAGGACUUAAGGCGAGGAGCAAGGGAGAGAUUUUCUCAGAGCAAACUUAAUACUUAGAACAAUUUAGGUAUUUUUCCGUUUUUACUAUCGAGCUGCGACUCGACUAGGUUAGAACUUAGGUGGAGAGAGUAGCGAACGUACCGACAGCUCUCGUGGCCUAGGAUCUUACCUGUUGUUCACGCUCAAACGCGAAUUCGGAAAUAAGACAUCUUUGUUCUUUUUUCGCUCUUUUAUGAUUUAUUACUUUCGAUUCUUUCAUAUUGAUUGUGUUGGGCCUAGCAGAUAACCGGAACCUUCAGGGAAGGCUAGGUUAGCUUGGCUUUCCUCCGAUUAAAAAAUCUCGACGGGGUGAAACGGCUAUGGUUAGCUUGAACACCAGUUGCCUUAACUAUACGGGGAAUUGGAAUCCUUUCGGAAAAACCAACGGCUGUUUCUUAGGAAAAAUCGUAAAAACGUCUAAGUCCCAACACGGCCCAAAAGGGGCCUGAACCGCGGCUAAACGGCCCACUUAUGAUUUUAGAACAUGAUUGAGCCUAAUGCUGAUAUGAAAGUCUGUUUUUUAUUCGCAGGAAAAGAUAAAUGUCAAGUUUCCGAAGAUAAUCAUGAAGGGUGACGAAAAAUGGAAAAGCCCAUCUCGCGACGAAUCCGGUCCAGGAAAAGGUGCAAACCGACUUGAGUAUAUAAGGAGGGCUUAAGGCGAGGAGCAAGGGAGAGAUUUUCUCAGAGCAAACUUAAUACUUAGAACAAUUUAGGCAUUUUUCCGUUUUUACUAUCGAGCUGCGACUCGACUAGGUUAGAACUUAGGUGGCGAGCUAGCGAACGUACCGACAGCUCUCGUGGCCUAGGAUCUUACCUGUUGUUCACGCUCAAACGCGAAUUCGGAAAUAAGACCGCUUUGUUCUUUUUUCGCUCUUUUACGAUUUAUUACUUUCGACUCUUUCAUAUUGAUUGUGUUGGGCCUAGUAGAUAACUGGAACCUUCAGGGAAGGCUAGGUUAGCUUGGCUUUCCUCCGAUUAACAAAUCUCGACGGAGUGAAUUCCGGUUCCCACAGUUUGGCGCUAGAAGAGGGGGGGGGGGUACGGAUCUAUCUCUCACGCAACCGCGCACGCUCAGUCAGGUAUGACGAUCGACGCUGACAAAGACAAGCAAGCGCACGACGGGACUUCCGUCAAUGCCACCGCUGACAGAACUCCAGCUGGAAACGUAUCCACAGUCACUACGAACGCCGUGAUACUGGACCAGAUGAAAGAAAUGUUCGCCUCCGCUCAUAAAAAGUUGGACAAACAAUGAAACCUCGUGGCCUCUCUCGCAAAACAGGUGGAAACCUUAACGGCGAAGGCCAAGAGUAAAAACCCGCGCGGGGCCAUAAGACCCCGCAGCGGCAGAAGACUCGAUUUCGAGACUCCGAGCGAUCGGGCCACACGGGCAGACAAGGAUUCUUCAGAUCAGAACCCUGACGAAACAGUCCCGCCAGGCACACAACCGACCGCGGAGAACCUUCCACCUCCCGCCGGGAGCAACGAAGGAGGCGAUAUCGAGCGGAUCGAUCUGGACAUAAGCGACCAGUUCGAUCACUCGGACGGAGGUGCCGACAUCCAUCCGAGAAGAACGCGAAGCCAGUCCGCUCGGCAGGACGCGUCGUUCGAAAGGCCCAUGACGGAGGAAGAAGAAAACCUCUAUUGGGUAGAGCAGGAAGAACUGGCCGAGAAUCAGGCUCGGAUCCACCGCAGCCAACACCGACAGGCUCGCAAGGCUGCUAGAAAUCCUAAUGAGAUCCAUGAUCUCCGCGAGUACAUCGCAAAAACCACGGCAGAUGUCAAGGCGGUAAAGUCGCAGAUUCACCACGCGACAAGCGCUGCACCCGAGAUCGACAGACUUCUCGAGGAAGCGCGGAAAACUCCGUUCACUCUCCGGAUCACGGAAACUAACAUCUCAGAUCUUGGGAAGAUCAAAGUACCCGUCUACGAUGGCACCACUGACCCGAAGGCGCAUCGACAGUCUUUCCAUAUCGCGAAGGGAAGGUGCAAACUCAAGGAACGCGAACGAGACGCUGGCUACUGCCUCCUCUUCAUCGAAAACCUCAAAGGGGCUGCGCUCGAAUGGUUUUCUCGUCUGAAACGAAACUCCAUCGGAAGUUUCCGUCAGCUCGCCUCGGAGUUUCUCAAACAGUAUUCCAUGUUCAUGGACAGGGAAACCUCAGACGUCGACCUUUGGAGUCUAUUUGAAAGAGAAGACGAACCGCUCCGCGAAUUCAUGAACAGGUUCAAGCUGGUAAUGGUAAGAGUCACUGGAAUCAGCGACAAAGUGGCAGUCGACGCUUUGCGGAAUACUCUCUGGUACAGGUCGAAACUCCGGCAAUGGAUAUCCCUUGAAAAAUCGAGAACAAUCCAGGACACUCUUCACAAGGCAACGAACUUCAUCAUGAUGGAAGAAGAGAUGAAAGUCCUCUCCCAGAAGUACAACCCGCAGAAGACGUCCGCGAGAAGGAAAAACCCUCACAACGACAGGUAUGUCCACCACAAGGGAGAAGAUCUCCAUGGCGAGCAUAAUUACGCUAUCAACUCCGAAUAGGGAAAGGCUUCCGGAAAUACCUGGACCAAAGGCGAGCAUAAUUACGCUAUCAACUCCGAACAGGGAAAGACUUCCGGAAAUACCUGGACCAGGAACCAGUUUAAGGAUAAUUCCUACUGCGAGUUCCACCAGACCAGAGGUCAUUCCACUAUGAACUGCAGGGUUCUCGGCAAAAGGCUUGCUGCAAAGCUCCUCGCCGGCGAAAUUUCGAAGGUCACAUGCAUAAAAGACCUCCUCCUGGAUUCCGAUCGCCCUCCCAAAACUGAUAACGAGUCCCCCGAAAAUGACACCCGCAAAAAUCAGUCGGGCGAGAAACGCAGAAGGAGGCAGGAUGACCGAGGAAACGACAGCAACCGUCGAAGGGUGAGCAUGAUCAUCGGGGGAUCGUAAUUCUAUCGCGAUUCGAUCUCGUCGAUCAAAGCUUAUGGACGGAAGGCUGAGACGAGUUCAAGCUGGCUGGCUAGGUCCCCAACCAACGACGCCCCUAACGAUACGAUCGUCUUCGAAGAGCGGGAAACCAUCAGAAUCGACAAACCUCACUGCGACCCAUUGGUUAUCGAUCUGGUAAUCCGAAACCUGGAAGUGGGAAGGAUCCUUAUCGACACGGGAAGCACAGUCAACGUCAUCUUCCGCGAUACCCUCCGGAGAAUGAACAUUGAACUCGGAGAAGUCGUCCCAUAACCAAAACCUCUUACCGGUUUCUCAGGUGCAACGUCAAUGACCCUCAGAUCAAUCAAACUCCCAGUGAUGGCUAAAGAGGUGACGAAAAUCGUUGACUUCGCGGUAAAAGCUACAAUGUCAUCAUAAAAACUCCUUGGAUCAAUGCCAUGAAAGCGGUACCGUCGACUUACCACCUUGGCAUCAAGUUCCCAACUCCAAACGGAACAACGGUAAUCUGGGGAUGCCAGAAACAGUCUAGGCUCUGCUUCUUGGCCGAGCAUAAACUACGACAAACUCGGAACACCCCCACGGUCAACCCGAAGCGGGCUAAGAAAGCUCAAAACGCUCCCGAGAGCUCCAUAAAAAGUGAUCCAGAAUCACCCGACCAGGCAACGAAUCCAGACAGCGACAUAGUCCCCGAGUCCAUCGCCUUGCCAGCGGACAGCCCGACUCCUGAAACGGUCGUCGAUCCAACUGAAGCCCCAACGGCUGAAGUAACCGAAACGAUCCCAUCCAGCGAGUAGGAACACCCACAGCAACAAGCAGAACUACGAGAUGGCUUGAUUCUCGAAAUAGGUACGUAGGCAGCUUGUCAUAUCGACAAGUUCAGCUAUCCCCCUCGUUAAAAAAGGGAGGGUGGGUACGUAUACUUGUAUACUCCCACAAAAUCAAAAAACGAUAUUUUCAAAAAAUUUUCAAUAAAUUCUACCUUCUUCCGANNNNNNNNNNNNNNNNNNNNNNNNNNNNNNNNGAAACUUUUUCAAUAAAUUCUACCUUCUUCCGAUCUCACGAUUCACUUGCAAUAAGUCACAGUAAUCUAAGGUUGGCCUAAGAAACGCCCAAGAUAAGGGCAUACCGUCCAAGCAGUCCUUGGACGAAAGCUAAUUCCUACAUAAUUCACACAUACUCAUGGUCAAGCAAGACCGGAAAACGCAUCUUCUAUAAAAACGAAGAUCGUAGCCAUCUCACAGCAAAAUACAUAUCUUCGAGAAAGCGAGACGUCGCAAAUAUUUCUAGAAAGAUAUUAUCCAAAUACACAGUCCACCUGUGACUCUAAAAUACAAAAUGCCCGUCGAUUGGCCCCGAUGGACAAGUCCAAAACGUUCUCUAAAAAGAGAACUCGUAGUCAAAACUUUCAUAAAAACUAAAGGUUCUCUUACAUCUGACAAAGAUACCAUAGCGCGCUAUACAAGAAAAUCUAGAAUUUUGGCCAGCACACCAGACGUUCUCUGGAGAGUGCUCGAUUCUUCCCACACAAGUCAUAUAAGCCGGCGCCUAGUCACAAACUUUAAUCGGAAAGAAUCAGGUAGAAAUCGCCAAUGGGCAAAACGAAAGCCGAUUAGUCGUCGCAUAGCCUUAGAGCAGAAAGUAAACCUAGGUCUUGCCUUAAACCCAGUCCUACUGGUCCAUUAACAUCUCAAGGCAUGAUAUCGAAACUGAUACGAGAUUUUAAAACAUGUCUCAUCGUCCACAUCUAAAACGCUCACGAAACUUCAUAAAACUCCUAAACGUUUUCAAAUACCCUCGAAAGAGCAAGCGAACGGAACGACAAAUUAAGAGUUAAGAUACGAAGUGACUACUCAUGUCUUUCCCUCGACACUUGGCAGAAGUAUAAAGUAAAACCCAUAGAAUGCUAAAAGAACAUUCGUUAUAUAUAAAAAGACCGCAGAGCGGCUGGGAUUCGAAGCCACCAACGGCCAGUCCCGUAUACAUAGUCGAAUGACUUUGCAAGGCCAUAGCACACUCAAAUAACGAACGGCCACACUCGGCCUAAAACACCACACGAAAUCUUGAGAUAAAGGCAAAGGGAAAACAAUCCUGACGACCUUCAGAGAUCAAGGACAAGAUACUCGGACAUCGAGACUCCAAAUGAGUCUGCGGGCUGCUCUACCUCUCCUCCCUCGUCUGCAGCAUCGGCUCCCGCUUCGGUCGUGUCCUCCGAAACCUCGAUGGGUUCCCAAAGCUCUCGGAUCCUCCCCUCGAUUGGAGGAACCAUCGACUCGGCCUGGGCGCACCCAUCCAUGAGGCCCGACAUCUCAGCAACCUCGGAGAGAAAAGAGAAAUCAGCGUUCUGCGACUUCCAAAGGGUACCAACCGAACCGCGGCAUUCGCGGAAGCCACCCACGUAGUCUUGAGCGUCCUUAAAGCUCCUGAACUCAACAUCAAACAAUGUGGCUCUCCUCGCUAACUCAGCAGCAAUCGUCCUCCUCCCUUUCCUCUCCGCACAAAUGACAGCUCGGGAAUGGGACUCAGUUUGUCUGCGCUCUCUUUCCGCAACCUCGUUCUGAAAACGGAUGAAUUUCCUCUCGAUCUAUUCGUCCUUGAAGUGCGAAAGACGCACCUCUCUGAAACUUCCGUCAAGCGUUGAAUUAAAGACCCGCAUUCCCUAUAUGAAUCAAGGGUCAAACAUGGAAGCGAAAAACGAAGACUCGCCAAAAAAAAUAAUUUUUCAGAGACUAAACCUCGUUGAUCAACCGAGAACCUUCCGCGAGCACUUCUCUCCUCGACGCUUCAUCCAGUGACGCUGGAGUAGUAAAACCGGGAGGAAGGUUGGCAAAGAAGUCAUCCGGAAGGGGAGCCUCGCUGGUUCCACUCCCAUCACCCGAGGUGAAACCCGGGUUCCAUCCGGGUAGCGGAAGAUAUUCUGAGACAAAGUUUCUGUCUUAGAGAGUGAUUCCCUUGUCCUUUCGGGACCUAACUCUCUCCCUCUGAUCGGGAACAGCGUCGGGGUGUGGCUCGUCCAUGUCCGAUGCACGUAAAGGUUGGGAGAUGUCUCGCGAUCGGUAGAGCGCCACUGCAUUCCAGAUCCUGUCUAGGAUGAAGGAAUCCCAAAAGAACGGACCAUUGCGGAGAAGAUCGUGCUUAGCAAACAGGUCCCUGGGGGUCGCGGGGAGGAUACUGUUCGCUGCAAAAAAAAAAAAAAACCUACUCCACCUAUGUAUAGGAAAAAAUGUUACUAUUCAUUCUCAGACUUCCGGCAAACGAUUACGUCUAAUUCCAUCAAAACAAGUCAUACCGCAAGCUCGGACCUCACACACAGGUCCACGGAUCCUAGCUAGCUGGGGGGCUAACUGUUGGGGUCAAAACCGGUCACGACGGAAUCAAUGCCUGAAAGUUUCCGGAAAACCAACUCUCGAUCGAUCCUUGAAAAUUAGACAUUCCCAAAAAACGGUUAAUCAAGUAAAAGACAGUUUUUUGCGGAUGCGAACCGAGUAACGUCGAGAAGAGGAUCAGUCUGGAUGAGGUCUCGAUCGUAAGCAAGAACCGACCACCUCGCCCUAGGGCGUAGGGGUGGGCGUUCGGAUACCCGUUCGGGUUCGGGUCGGGUAUUUCGGGUUUUUGGGUAUUUCGGGUUUUUGGGUAUUUCGGUAUAGAGAUAGGAACCCGUUCGGGUAUUUCUGUACUUCGGGUCGGGUUCGGGUAUUUUUAGUUCGGGUUCAGUUAUUUUGAAACGGGUUCGGAUAUUUAGAUUUUAAAUGAAAAAAAAUUAUUUUUUUCAUUUUUUUCAUUUUUUAAGUUUCUUGUAUUUAAAAAUAUAGAUUUCACUUAACUGAUUUUUUUAUUUUUUAUAGAUUGGAUGAUUAAUAGGUUUGAAGAUAAUAUUUGAAAAAUAAAUAGAUAAUAAUUUGGGUAUUGUUUUUAAAUUUUGAAUGUAACUUUUGUUAAUACACGAAACAAAAAGUUUGACAUGCAUUUUAAAUGAAUAUCAAAUCAUUUUCUCCAUAAUUAUAUAUAUAUAUAUAUAUACUUUGAUCUUAAAGUACGUGUAGCAUCAAUAUAAAUAUUUUUAAAAAAAUAAGAGAUGUAAAUUAGAUAUAUAAGGGUAAGUAUAUAUAGGUUCGGUUAUCUUCGGAUAUCCAUUCGGGUUCGGAUAUUACCUGUUCGGGUUCGGAUAUCCAAUCUAUCAUAACUUAAUACCCGUUCGGGUAUUUUGCUACUUCGGUUCGGAUUUCGGUUCGGGUUUUUUGGGUCGGGUUCGGGUGCAGCUUCGGGUAUCGGGUAAAGUGCUCACCCCUACUAGGGCGAGGACCGUCUCAACACGGGGCACCUUGCCCAUGGACGAGGACGACCCACACCGAGGUCAUCUCGCCCAUGGGCGAGGACGACCCGCGCCGAGGUCACCUCGCCCGUGGACGAGGACAACCCGCACCGAGGUCACCUCGCCCAUGGGCGAGGACCGACCUCCUGUCCCGAAACCGUGCAUCCUCGUCUAAGUUCCCGUAACACAAUCCUCGGGCCCUUGGACACUGCGCCGGGGUCACCUCUCCCAUGGGAGAGGACGACCCGCGCCGAGGUCACCUCGCCCAUGGGCGAGGACCGACCUCCUGUUCCGAAACCGUGCAUCCUCGUCUAAGUUCCCGUAACACAAUCCUCGGGCCCUUGGACACAAUACCCAUGUCUCGUCUCGCUUAGGAUUAUCAAAGAAAGACUUCGAGAAAAGUUAUAAAAAACUUGGUCGUUGAAACAGAUUCCUGCCUGCCGUAUAAAACGGCUAUGGUUAGCUUGAACACCAGUUGCCUUAACUAUACGGGGAAUUGGAAUCCUUUCGGAAAAACCAACAGCUGUUUCUUAGGAAAAAUCGUAAAAAGGUCUAAGUCCCAAAACGGCCCAAAAGGGGCCUGAACCGCGGCUAAACGGCCCACUUACGAUUUUAGAACAUGAUUGAGCCUAAGGCUGAUAUGACGGUCUAUUUUUUAUUCGCAGGAAAAGAUAAAUGUCAAGUUUCUGAACAUAAUCAUGAAGGGUGACGAAAAAUGGAAAAACCCAUCUCGCGACGAAUCCGGCCCAGGAAAAGGUGCAAACCGACCUAGAGAGAGUAUAUAAGGAGGGCUUAAGGCGAGGAGCAAGGGUAGCUUUUCUCAGAGCAAACUUAAUACUUAGAGCAAUUUAGGCAUUUUUCCGUUUUUACUAUCGAGUUGCGACUCGACUAGGUUAGAACUUAGGUGGCUAGACUAGCGAACGUACCGACAGCUCUUGUAGCCUAGGAUCUUACCUGUUGUUCACGCUCAAACGCGAAUUCAGAAAUAAGACCUCUUUGUUCUCUUUUCGCUCUUUUACGAUUUAUUAGUUUCGACUCUUUCAUAUUGUUUGUGUUGUGCGUGACCCAUCAGAUAACCGGGACCUUCAGGGAAGGCUAGGUUAUCUUGGCUUUCUUCCGAUUAACAAAUUUCGAUGAUGUGAAUUCCGGUUUCCACACCGUUAUGUUGAUAGAAUUUGUUGUUGCAUUUUCAGGGGAAAGCAGCAAAUCACUGGAUGCAUUGGUGAGUUUAAUUACAAAAUGAACACUAAUGUUUCGUAUAUUUAUUUGUCCAAUAUCCGUCCGCACGUGUAUGCGUGUUAAUGUGUCUGUGUGUUGAGCGAAUGCAAGAGACAAAGUAUGAUCCUAAGCUUGUAUUUUAGACUUAAUUAACUAAGGUUUGGUCUUGCAAUAACGUCUAAAUUGGUUGGUCUUUAGGUGAAGAACACAGGAAAAGAAUCUCUCCAGUGGGGUGAGUUAUUACAUAUACUAGGGGCAUUGCCUCCGUACAAGCGCGGGGUUGUAGACAUAUUUCUUGUUUCAUCUCAAUAUUUGUGAGGGUUAUUGUAACUGUGAAUUUUGCGUUUUGGGUUGAUCAUUGUUUUUUAAGUUUUUUUAUUGUUAUAGGGUUAGAGUUGUGAUGAUGUACUAUGUAUGCACUGUUCUCCACUCAUAAAGGACUAAACUGUGUUAGUAAUGUGAUUGAUAUAGUUCAUGUUGUUGCUUGCUGUGUCACUGAGACUUAUUGUUUGUUUGUCUUUUUUAUUUGUUACUUGUACUGUUGAGAUUACAUAAAUUAUAUUAAGGUUGUUGAGAGUACCUUUUGUUUCUGAAUAUUUUUUCUCCAGUUUAGUUGUGUAAGUUUUGUGUAUUAAGUAAUAAUUUUUUUUAUUCUUAUUAUGUUGGUUAUAUUUUUUACUUUUAAACUUGUUGUUUUUACCGGACCUUUAAAACAAAUAUAUGAUCACUUGUAGAAAUAACUAUAAAAUGAGUUACAAUUAGUAUUUGGGUCUUAAUGGGUUUUAAACGAAUAUAUGUAUUUCUCAUAAGAAGACAAUAGCGUUGGCAUGUUGACAUUGAGCAUAUAAGCUAUUUUUAUAAGACAAGAGGAGUGAGCAGGUGGAGAUGUUGUUGCCACCCUUGUGUCUGUUGGGAUUGUCUCUUGUAUCUCCUGGUGUGGCUGUGUUUGUUUCUCUUUUAUUUGAUGGGUUAUAUGUAAACAAAAAUCAUUGUUAGUUUAUCAGAGUUUGUAACUUACUCUGCUUUUUUGUUUAGAUAAUUUCACUGAUCUUGGUUGUCGUCUUCGUCUUCUUCGUAAGCAUCUGUGAAAGUAAGUUUGUAAAUUGUUAAAUAUUUGGUCGUGUAGUUUAUAUUUGUUUAGCUGGCUCAAUGUAUGUGUCGUUGAGUUUUAGUUGAGUUGAUUGGUUUGGUAUAUUUGUUUAGAAGUUUAUUUGUAAGAUUAGACAAAAAGAGAAGUGAUCAUUAAUGAAUCGUCUUUUUUAGGAUUCUAGUUUUUGGUGUUUUGAUUAUUUGGGUUAUUGUGGUUUCUUUUAAACAGUAAAAUAAAGAUUUGUGUAAAAUUAGAUUGAUAAGUAAGGGAGAUAAAUAGAUGACCACAAAUCUUGGGUAUGAAAUAUUUUUGAUUAUUGAUGUUAGCACAAUAUAGACAGUAAUAUAAAGAGAAUUGUGUGUUGAUUGUUUCUUACGGAUCAAUGAGGAGACGGAUAACGAGUCGAGUUGUUUCUUUGGUGAGGUCAGAGCCCUGGAUAGAACAGAUUUGCCCAAACACAUCUGCGAGUUUAAAUAUCAGUUAUGAUAUAAAAACAUAAUAUAAACCCGUAUGCAAUAUGAUAAUAUGCCUGGGAGUUCUAGGUUUGUGUUUGCAAUAACUUGGAGAUUGUCGAACAGGCUAAUCUUGACUGGAGAUUGAUCUCAGGAGCACCCGUGGUGACUUCAUCAAUAAUGGUUGGUGAGAUGAAACGAAUGAGGAAUGGAUGAUCAGUUAUCUUGUACAUGCUUGAGCAUCUAGCAACCUCAAAACUAUCGACUUUCACAAUGGAACCGGCUUUCAAAGAUUACAUGUAAUGAUUAGCACUCCGGCGGGAAUAAACCCAUGAAUCACGAAAUCUGUAAAUAAUAUUAUACAACAAAGAAUCAGGAAAUCAAUUAAAAAUAAUUAUGUUAAAUAAGUGUGAUAGAUCGAAGAUUAAGUUACCUUUUCAUCAAGGAAGAGAACCGUGAUUCCCACAAACUCCCUGUCUUUCUUGAAGUUCAGGGAAUCCCAGAAGCGAGGAAGCCAGAGGCUAUGCUCUGACUACUACGACCAAGACGAAGAGAUUCGAAGGUUGAGUGACGGACGCCGAGAUGCCGGUUUGACGAAUUGGAGAGGCAGAGAGAAACAUUUUCUAGAAGUUGGUUAAAUCUAAGAGGAAUCAAUGAGUUUGUUGGAGAUGCAGAUUUGGUUCAUCAAAGAUGAGAAUCAUAUAUAUAGGGUUUAUAUAGAGGCUACAAAUCAGGAACAUUUAUGAUCAAGCGAUUUAAGAUGUGGACAUGAAGAGUUUACCGGUGAAAAAAUAGAUUACGAAUAGACACAUGACGCAACUCUGUAACUCAGACUUGUUUGAGACAUUGAUGAAAAGAACUCAAACUCAUGUUAAACGACAACAAUUUACAAUAUGAGAAAACUAUAAUUGUUGCAAACUUGAGCUUUUUUUAUAUAACGUGAUGAAUCUCAUUUAAAAAUGAAACUCAUAACGCAUUUGUAGGCCCGACCCUCAGAGGAAGCCGAAGAAGCAAGAGCUUCCGACCUUCAUAAAUAUAUAUUAGGUUCGACCAUCAAUGUACAAAGUAUCAUUUAGUUUAGUGGUAUAAAUGUUGGUGUUUAUAUCUCAAUAACCUAAGUUUGAGCCAUAGACUUGACAUUUUUCACACUUUUUAAAAGUGAGGCACACAAAACGCUGACGUGGCGCACUUAUGAGUGAACAAAAACUUAUAUAUUAUAAUAUAGAUUUAUGUUAAAUUAACCGUUUAGCCUUUAAUAGAGAUUAUUUGUUUAAGACACCGGAUAUUGAUUGAUUUGAUAUGGUAAGACAGGGCUUGCAGCUGGAUUAUACUCGGGUAUAACUUAUGGUAUGAAAGAGGCUCGUGGGGGAGCUCAUGAUUGGGUGUCUAAUCACCAUUGUCUUUAAAAAAUAUAAUUUUGCUGCCAUCAUUGUCUUGGUAAUGUGACGUCUUUUAAUUAAUCUGUAACCAUAUAUAUAUAUAUAUAUUGCAAAGGAAUAGCUCGGUGGCUGGAGCAUUAACAGGAGCGGCGAUGGCUAUGACGACCUCGGAGAGUACAAGCCAUGAGCAAGUGGUUCAGUCUGCUCUUACCGGAGCAGCCAUUUCCACAGCUGCUAAUCUCCUUUCCAGCGUUUUCUAGAUGAUCUCAUCAGAAGUCUUGUUAUUUGUGUUAGUUUUAGCAUAAACAUGUCUUUCUAUAAAACUUUUCUACGGAUCUGUCAAGACUAGGCUCCCUGAAGCCAGAUAUCAGAUUUUCUUCCGUUUGAAUUUUUUGUUGCUUGAACUGCUUAAAGAAAAUUAGUACAUCUUUUUGGCAUAUAAGAGAAUAAACGUUAUCCUUUUUGGAUAAAAAUGCGGGUCCUGUGGGCCCAGACAAGAAAAAAAAAUGUCAUAUAACUUUCACCCGUGAGGUUGCGUCAGACAUUUCUUUGGAAUUAUAUGCUCGUUUUUCUACAAACUACAAUAUCAAAUAGGGCACGAAAUAAAGUUUGACGAUGUCCGAUGUAUUUUGUUAUUUUCACCAUUAAAAUAAAGUAAUUCUAUAAUAGUGGUGAAAUAUGUUUUAAUGUAUCAAUCUUUAAAUAUAUAGUUAAAAAUAGAAGAAUGCUAUUUCUUAUUCUAUAAAUAGAUAGAAGAAAAAAUAGAAAUCUCUAUCAUAGAGGAAGAAAUAGAAGUGGAUUAAAGCAAUUUCAUCUUUAAAUAUUAUUAUAAAUGUGAAAAUAACAAUGGAUUAGAGAUACUAUUGAAUGUUAAAAUUCAUUUCUUUUUUUAGUCAAAAAAAGAAAAAAAAAUAAAAUGAAUUUUCUAGUUCUCAUUGAUUAGAGACAUCUUUAUACAUUAAUUUAAAUGAACAAGCUCUCAAAAAUAUCAUGAUUCUACCUUUUUCUAAUCAAGAUCACAAACAUUUUAAAAACGUUUACAGAUAGAGUGCUCAACGGUUAAUGAGUUUGUCAGACCAAUGCAAAAUAUAUUUAGACGUCCACUAGUUUGAAUUUAAAAUGUCUUUUAGUUUAAAUCAAAAGGUCACUAAGAGCAUCUUUAUCCCUAUCACCCCUGAUAGAUUUCUUAAUGAAUUUUUAAUUAGUAAAAGUAAUAUAAGAACAUUAGUUAAGAAACUCCAAUUUUCAGUGGUCCAAUGGGAGUUUCUUAACUAAGGUUCUUAAAAAAAAUUUAUUAAACUAUUUUUUUGAAGAUAAAAUUUAUUUAUUUAAUAAAACAUAUUAAAAGAUAACAUUUUAAACAUAGAUUUUAAAAUUAAAACAUAAAAACAAGGAUUAAUAAAAUAAACGAGAAAAAUUUGAAAGAAACAUCUGAGCUCAGUUGUUGUCUUCAUCACGUCCAAAUUUACGUCAUAUAUGUUCAACCAAAUCAGCUUUCAGUUGUUGAUGCAUUUGUCUAUCACGAAUUCUAGUUCGAACACCCAUCAUAUUGACGAUAUUUGAAAGGAUAUCUGUAGAAUACGUGAGAUCGACAUGUGAAGUUCCGGUGUCUUUUCCUUGUUGGAACUCUGAAACAUCAAAAUGAGUGUAUCCAUCUCGUUCGUCUUCUACUAUCAUAUUAUGGAGUAUGAUACAUGCUCUCAUAAUCUUCCCUAUUUUGGCUUUAUCCCAAAAAAGUGUUGGAUUUUUAACAAUGGCAAAUCGAGCUUGCAAGACUCCAAAAGCACGCUCGACAUCUUUUCAGACAGCUUCUUGAUGUUGAGCAAAUAAAGCCGCCUUCGGACCUUGUGGUAUUGGAAUAGAUUGGAUAAAAAUUGUCCAUUUCAGAUAAAUACCAUCGGUGAGAUAGUAAGCCAAAUGAUACUCUCUUCCAUUGACAGAGAAAGUAACUUACGGAGCUUGACCUUUUAUUAUGUCAUCAAAAACAGGUGAGAGAUCAAGAACAUUGAUAUCAUUUAAGGUACCUGGAGGUCCAAAAAACGCAUUUCAUAUCCAUAAAUCAUACGAAGCAACCGCCUUUAAAACGUUUGUGGGUUUAGCCGAACCACGUGAAUAUUGACCUUUCCAAGCGGCGGGACAAUUCUUCCACUCCUAUUGUAUACAAUCAAUGCUUCCUAUCAUCACGGGAAAUUCACAUUGCUCACCAAUAUAAAGUAGACGUUGAAGAUCAGCUGGUGUUGGUCUUCUUAGGUACUCAUCGCCGAAUAAAUUUAUUAUUCCUUCUACAAAGUGUUCCACACAUAACCGAGUAGUAGUUGAACCGAGUCGGAGAUAUUCGUCAACAUCAUCAGCCGCAGAACCAUAUGCCAAGACACGAAUGGAUGCUGUACACUUUUGAAGUGCAGAGAGACUAAGCCUUCCGAGAGCAUCUUUCUUUUGUCGAAAGAAUUCAACUUCAUUGGAGAGUCGAUCAACAAUACGCAUGAAAAAUGACUUGUUCAUUCUAAAUCGUCGUCGGAAGAGAUUUUCAGGAUAUGUUGGAGUUUUACUGAAAUAAUCAUUCUAUAAACGUAGAUCGCAUUCUUCACGAUUUCUUUCGAUAUGAACUCGUUUUUCUUCUUCUUUUUCUUUCAACUUCUUGAUCACCAUAAAUAAUGGUUAAAUUCUCGAAUGUUUGAUCAAAAUGUUGAUCAAAAUAUUGAUCAAAACUUUCAUCAUCUACUCCCUCAAAAGUGUUAUGAGAAGAAGAUGUCAUAUAUGUGAUCAAAAUUUAGAAAGUGUUUUGAUUAUUUUUUGUGAAUAAUUUUUGUGAUCAAGGAAAAGGAGAGAAUGAAACAAUGAGAGAGUGAGAUAAUGAAAUAAUUUGUAAAAAGUGUUUUAUGAUCAAGGAGAUGACCAAGGAGACUUCGUCAUGAUGAGAAGACUUUGUUAUUUGUGUGUUACGAAGGAGGUGAUCAAGGCGACUUUGUGAUGAUGAGAAAGAGAGAAUGAGUCUUGUGAUCACGUCUUUGUCGAUUGUAAGGUGAGAAGGGGAGAAGAAGCAUUUGUGAUUAACUUGGUGAAUAAGACUUUAUAUAGACAAGGAGAGACUUUACAAAAUUUAGAAAGUGUUUUGAUUCUUUACAAAAUCAUUGUUUCACUUGACAACCCUUGCGACACAAACAGAAACUUUACAACAGCAUUUGUGACAUAUACAUCUUGUGACACAUACGGACAACUCGUUGUGACACAUACAUACAACUCUUGUGACUUCCAUCUCGUGUAUUCUCUUGCACGUAUACAUCUUGUGACUUGCAUCUCGUGACUACUCUUGAUCUCGUGACUACUCUUGUUUGGCUUCUCGUGACAUCUUGUCAAUUUCCUUUGUCUCUCUGCACACGUAAACAAGUAAAGUCUGAAACAUACAAUAUGUUUUAAUAAAAUACAUGAAGCUUUAACAAGAACAUAGAAACUCUUUUCAACAAACAAUAUCUUACAUAGACCGAAGACACAUAACCGAAGAACAUAGACGAAAGAAACAAAUAGAGUUCAAACAACUAAAGACUGAAGACACAUUACCGAACAUGAAACAAAACAUGAAACAGAACAUGAAACAGAACAUGAAACACAUAGACACUAAUUACCCAACAUCUCUGUAAUUAGUUUCUCCUUUAGAGCAUCUUCAAACUGAGAUAGGAGCUCUUUUUUUAAAAUGAGACUCUUGAGCAGACCCAUCUUUUUUAGUCUUUCUUUAGCAGCCAAGUCUUUCUCUUUGAUAGACCACAUGCCCUCAAACUCCGACACACCCAGUUGAUCAACUAUAGUUCUCUUACCGCCUGCUCCUUUCGCUGCCUUAACACCAGGAGGACGUUUGGUUGGGUGAUCACCAUUCAUAGUUGCUUGAGAGCUUGCCUCUUCCCCUCCAUCCUCACACUUUCUCUUCUUAGCGCUUGAUGAUUGUGGUCCAUCAAUCUUAAUUACUACUCGCAAGAGCACACCAUUUCUGGUCGUUUUUGAGUUCCUCCCAAGCAUGGUGAAGAUUAAAUUUAAUCUUAUGAUCGUUGUAGAAGAUUUUGUGUGCCAUUUUAACAACAUCACUCUCACUCUGAACAUUAGUUUUAUGUCUUGUUGCAGCGGCAUAGGCUCCAGAAAACUUGCAAACGAGGUCGUUCAUCUUCUGCCACCUUUGCUUACACGGAAUAGCCUCUCGUGCUCCACCUCUUUCCACUUUUGGACUAGAUGCAAAAUUAUCUGCAAUGCGCUUCCAAAAAGCACAUUCUUUAUGUUCAUUGCCUACUACCGGAUCCUUGCUGGUUUUUAACCAUGCGCUAAUGAGCACCACAUCAUCAGAGGGAGACCAUUUCUUUCUUUCUUUGCGCUGUGUAGGUGAGUCUUCAUAGAAGCUUGAUGUUUCAGUACCUUGAGUACUAAACACAUGCACUUGUGAACCGCAAUCAUAAGGAAACAGUUCGGGAAAGUGACAAUCUUGUUGACUGUUCAAAAGGUUAACGAAAUUGGAGGUCCGACUAUAUGGAUUCGUAGAAUCCAUAUCCCAAUAUGUCAGAGAAAUGGAGAAGUGAGAAAGAAGUCAGAGAAGUGAGAAAGAAGAAGCAAUGUGUAAUGUGUUACAUCGUUUUAUAGAUGAAAAGAGAAGAAGAUUUUGUGAGAUAGAUUUGUGCUGAGUAGACAUGUAUCUAACUUAUUUAUUACUUAACUACUACCAGAAGCAUUCAUCACAUCAAGCAUUCAUCACAACAAGCAUUCACUAACCAUAUCCUAAAUCUAACAAGCAUUCAUCACAAGCAUUGUUUAACCUAACUACUAUCCAGCCAAAGCAAUUACGAAAAUAUCUAGAAAAUAAUUUCAAGUUUUGCACAGUUACCUCAACGACAGUCUCAAGUUGUGUUUCCUUGUCGAAGUACUGGAUGUGUAAGCAUGUUCACAACGCCCUCAACCCUGUCAUAAUUAGCAACACAAUGAACUUAGAUCGCUUUCUAACUUCAACACACACACUUAUAUUAUUCAUAUCCAGUGAUAAAACACUAAUUAAGAUUAAUGAAAUUGAAAGCAGAAGGUGAGAAAGUUAAUUACUUGGGAAGUGAUCUCCAAAUUGUAGAGAUCGUGAGCCAGAGCUGAAAGACCGACGGAGGCGAUGCCGAGACACUCGUCGUCUGAAUGGGUUUGCAUCAUUCUUCUGCCGGAGAAGACGAGAAGCGACGGAGGAGACGCCGUGAGGAGCAAGACAGUCGUCAUCCUUGGAGGGUUUCGCUCCUUCUUCUGACGGAGAGGACGAGAGAAGACGGAGGAUUGAAAGAGAGAAGACGGAUGAUCAGUGGUGGGUUUCGAUGCUUCUACUGACGGAGAAGACGAGAGAUGACGGAGGAGACACACGGAGGAGCGAGAAAGUCGUCGUCCUUGGUGGUGGGUUUCGAUCCUUCCUCUGUCAUGGAGAAGAAGAGAAGACGAGAACGAAGACAGAGGAUCGGUGGUGGGUUUCGAUCGGUGGCGGGUUUCGAUCCUUCCCCUGUCACGGAGAAGACGACAAGAGGAGAACGAAGACGGGGGAUCGGUGGUGGAGGAGCGGUGGUGGGUUUCGAUCGAGAUCAGUUUCGAGCCUUCCUCUGUCACGGAGAAGACGACAAGACGAGAACGAAGCCGGAGGAUCGGUGGUGGGUUUCGAUCGAGAUCAGUUUCGAUCAAGAUCAGUUUCGCUCCUUCGUCUCGUCUGUGACGGAGAACACGAGAAGACGAGAAGACAAAAAAGAAAAGAAAGACAUAAAAGAAAAUAGAAAAAGAAAUACUUACCCUACCUUGCCGACACGUGUGUCAAACAACACUCUUAAAACCGGUCACAAAAUACCCCAUUUAAGGAUCGGUGACAACUCUCUUUUCUUUUGUUUUGAUUUAAUUAAAUCUCUUAUUAUUCUUAAAAACCCCCAUUAAGGAUCAAGGAUAAGGAUGGUCUAACCUUUCGUUCAAAAUGUCCUUGAACUUUAGUCUCAAGAAACAUGCUGUAGCUCUCAAUUUAGGUUUUUAAUUGAGAGCUAGUCAGGUAGGUAGUUGAAAGUUAAGAAGCAAAAUCAUAAAACAAGAGAAGAAAUUUUAUGUGCUGUGACCAAAUUAUUUUCUUUUAAUAAAAAAAUAUCAGGAAGUUCUAGACCGGUCCAAAAAUACAAUAUUAGUUUUUUCAAAUAGUAUUCGCUCAUAUAAAUUUUAGGUUUUAUUUUGGAUGAUUUUCCAAAAAAGUUAUAAAAACAAUUGUAUAAUUCUAAAAAUAUUAUAGUGUGUAAUCGGAUAAGAUAGAAUCAUUUGUCCAAAAAUGUGUAUGAGAUCGUUACAUCGCGGCAAAUAACAUGUCCUUAAGAAUGUGAAAAUUUGUAUAAUUUAGGUAUAUAGCUAGAAUGGUCUACUUUUGAACAAAAAAAAAAAAAAGCUAGAAUGGUCUACUAAAAUAUAUAGGGGAUUUAGUGCCUGUACCUGUCUGAUUAUCAGGUUGUUAGUACAUUUUUCAAACUAUAUAAAAUUUAUGGUAGUGUAAACAGUAUCAGAUUCUGAAAAUUUGGUAAUAUGUUUGAAACUUGUUUGUAAGACUACAGUGUCCAAAAUUUGAUGUGUGGUAUUUAUUGAUGGACUGUAUUCUUGGAAACUUCAUUAGGAAACUAAUUGAGACUCAUAAUUACUAUGAAUUGUGAGAAGUAGAAAAAAAAAUUGUAGGAGAAGUUCACAGCCAUUUCCAACAAUUAGUCUGAACUGUACACCUUAGAGCAUCAUUACCCCUAAGAGAGACAUAGGAGUUCUUGAUCAUUUUUUAAUACUUUUAAGUUGGAAAAGUGAGUUUAAGAGACUUAGUUAAGAGACGAGAAUAUUUGUGUGGUCCAAUGCAAGUCUCUUAUUUAAAGAUUCUUAAAAAAAGAUAUUAAACAUUAUUUUAUUAAACUUAAAAUUUAUUGAUAAAAUUAUUAAACAUAGGUUUUUAAAUAAAAACAUAAAAACAAAAAUUAGUAAAAAAAAAGAGAAUAAUUUGAAAGAAAUAUCCGAGUUCAGUUUUUGUCUUCAUCACGUCCAAAUUUACGCCAUAUAUGUUCAACCAAAUCAUCUUUCAGUUGUUGAUGUAUUUGUCUAUCACGAAUUCUUGUUCGAACACCCAUCAUAUUGACAAUUAAAAAGAGAAGAUGAGUAAAGAGAGAAUAUGGCUUUGGUGGUGUGAAAAAAGAUUACUUUGUUGAGGGAAGAUGAGUAAAGAGAGAAGAUGAGUAAAGAAAGAAAGCAAGAGUGUGUGUGGUUGUUUUUUUUAAAGCCGAGAGUGUUUGUUAUAUAGACACAAGCAUACAAGUUUAUUCUUUACAAGUCCGCGACACAAAAGACACAAAAGAUAACAACAGUGCUUGUCCCUGACAUGAGAAUAGAAGAGUACAAGACAUGUGAAGACAAUGAGUGUGUCUUUUACAAUGAGUAUCAGUUGAUCAGGAUGAAUAUCAGUUGGAUUGCUCUGUUCUUCUUUCAGAUACUAUUGCCAAUCAAUCAGGCCAGAUCGUAUCAUAGUGAAAAAACUUGCAGCUAGACAACAUUAGUUUAAGUCCAACUCAAAUAUAUUUCAAGACUUGUACAUAAUUGCAGGUAUUAACCAAAGUUAGAUCAUGUUUUAUUUUGGUAUUGGUUUACAUUGUUUACAAGAAAUAUGGUCUCGGUUCAAAUGCAUUGUCAUUUAAGAACACUAAAGCCGUAGACAAGGCCAUGAACUGAUCAUAAAACUAGAUUAACAUUGUACUGCAGAGCCAAGUUCUUGAUUUUACUCUGUAUUUUUCAAAUAUAAAGAAAAGAAACUUAAAGAACGACAAACAAAAGGAUCUAUAACCCUAUAUUAAACAUCUGCCACCACCACCCAUCUUAGCACCCUAUAUUAAUUAGUCUACUCAUAAUUAACAUACGUAACUAGCAAAUGCAGCAGCAAGUGAACAUGUUGGUUUAUGAUAAGAAUAAAAUGGCAUAAUCACCCUUGCAUGGACAAACAACUAAAGACAGAGUCAUGGAGCUUAUAAUUUACCAUGUGAAGGAACUUGUUCUGAUCAACAACACGAGUGUUCUCGAGCUUGAUAUUGAGGUACUGAUCAACUGAAUGAAGAGUCCCUCUACAACAGAACACACUCCAACCAAUGAAGCGCAAGACUUCUCCAGCACGACAUUCUCACCUUCCGUCACUUCGACCUCACCACCAAGCUCGAAAGUCUCGUCCUUUGAGUUUAAGAGCACGGCCACAGAAGCUCGGGUCUCUUCGUUGUUUAGACCUUGAGAGAGACCAAAGGAGCUUCUUUUGAUCAGUGCGAGGGGUUUAAUGAUGAAUCUCUCGAUCGCGGAAGAGUCGAUAUGUUCUUCAACACCAACACCAGCUUGGUUAUCAACUUGGAGAUGCUCUGUUUCGGACAAACACUUGCUUGCAUCCUCGACAUGUUCUUCAAGACAAACUUGGCUCUCAACUUGAAGAUCGCAUGUUUCGGACAAACACUCGCUUGAAUGCCCUUGACGUCACCAUCAAUAAACCCUAAUUCGUUAGCAUCAUCAUCCGAUUGAUAAACAUCCAACUGAUCGAAACCCAAACCCACCGGAUUCGGAGGCUCCGACCCGUAAUCGACGAGAAGAAUCACCAGAUCCUGUGCUUUGCUCAGUUGUACGCUGAUCGGCAGAGAAAUGAUCAGAGAUCCCAAUCAAGUAUCUCCUCUCCUUCCAUGGUGAUAAUCGAAAGAGAAAUUCAGAUUAUGGUGAAUCUCUCCAUCGCGAUUUGACCAGAGAGAAGCGACAAGAGACAUAUCUUGUGUAUCCAUACGUCGCUUAUGGUAAUUGCCAUUUUUCAUUUUUUUUAAUUCCUAAUUAAACUAAAAACCCCUUCUAAAAUACCCCGAUAAUGAUGGUCUUAGAACAACGAUAAAUAAGUUCCAAAAACGUGAAAAAUGAAGUACAUUAGACCAUCCUUAUCGCUGGCGCUUAAGGAGAGUGCUUAACAUAAUUGCAAUUAAAAGAAAAUCAAAAAUAGAAGAAAGCAGAAGCGUCGGCCCCUAAUUAAGCCCGAGAAUCAACGUAUUUUCUUGGACAGGUGUCAGCAAAUGAGAGGGUUGAGGUUUGGUUACGGGUUGAACGCGAUCAAAGUUGGCUUUUGGUCUCUCUCUCUCUCUCUUUCUCUCUCUCUCGAAUCCUCUCAUCUACGAAAGGCGAAUUGUAUCCAUCGCGGUGGCUCUGGUCUCGGCGGCGAGGUGUCCGUCGGUGGCUCGCGUCGGGACCUCUCUCUCAGUGGAUCUCCUCGGCGGUGACAUCUCUCUCUCUCCGUGGCUCUUGUCUAAUCGAAAGGUAAACGGUUUUGUGUUCUUCGGUUAUGCAAGUCUUACGAUUUAUGCAUGUUCCUGUUCUGAUCGGUAGUUUUUAUAUCUUAUUUGUUGGUUCUGAUCGGUGGCGAUGGAGCUCUCCACGACGGCGAUGGAGCUCUCCACGACGGCGACAGAGCUCUCUCUCGGUGGAGUCGAAGCUCUUUCUCUCUCUCGGUGGCGACGAAUCUCUCUCUCGGUGGCGACAGAGCUCAAACGGCGGCUCUUGUCGAAUCGAAAGGUAAAGUUUAUGUUUUGGUAUUUGUUUGAUUUGGUAUCUUCUGUCUUAAGAUUGAUGGAGCAAAUAUGAAUUGUUUGUAAGUUGGAUGUUCUGUGAUUUGGAUGUUCUGUGAUUUGAUAAAAUCGUUUUUGAUAUGUUCUCAAUUUGCUUUUGUUUGUAUGUUUCAAUGCUUCAAAUCGUUUAUUUCCUCUGUUUCUCAAAUAUAUUAAUCAUGUGAUUUGUUUCUGAGUGUUUCAAAUAUAAAGCAAUGGUUGUUCCUCUGUUUCAAAUCGUUUCUUUCCUCUGUUGAGUUGUUUGUUGUCUAUUUCAUAUUACUCUUGUCGCUGUUUCAUGUUCUUCAUGAAUGUCUGCUUUGCUACUUUUAGGACAUUUGUGGUUGAGUUCAUUUAAAGCUUUAUGGUUGAGUCGUUUGUAAUAAAUGGUUAGUGUUAGAUUAUUGUUGAAUGAGUUAACAAAUAGAUGUUUAAGUGUGGUUAUUGUGGUAGCUAUAUGUCUAGUCGAAUAGACUGGGUGUGAUGAAUGCGGUUAUGAAUGGUUUUGGUUUGAUACUUGCUGGUAGCUAUAUGUCUUUCGUUUCUGUCAUUUAUUUAAAAUGCUCUUUCGUUUAUGGUUGUGGUUGUAUGAGUGAUAUGAAUGCGGUUAUGAAUGCUCUUUCAUUUCUCUCAUUUCUCUCCUCUAUUAAACUCGCCUUCUUCCAUCUCUCUUUUCUAUCAUCUCUCUUUUCCAUCACUUGAGACAUAUUCAAAUAUGGAUUUUAAUCCAUAUUUGAAUUUAAAUUUUGUUGAUCUUCUUCAAAGUCAACAAGAUAGUGACAUAGGUUUAGAAUCUUCUCCCAUUCCUUUAUAUGGCACGCAAGCCACUGAAGGUUCUAACUUCGAGCAAGAGACUCCACUGGAGCGUAAAGAACGGAGGGCUUGGACGCCAACAGAUGAUGUUUAAAUAUGGCAUCUCCCAAAUCACCGUUUUUUCUUACCAAACCCAAAUUCAAAUCGCUUUGAUUUUUAAAUAUGGCAUCUUCUUCUCAAAACAACUUCGAAGAAUCAGUUGAUGACCAAUAUUUUGAUCAGUACUUUGAUCAAUAUAUGGAUCAAACCUUACAGAAUUUAACCAUUGGUCAUCGAGAAGAACCAAAGAAAUAAAGAAAGAAGCGAGCUUAUAUCGAGAGAAACCGUGAAGAAGGGCACAUUCAAUUAUGGAAUGAUUAUUUCAGUGAAACUCCAACGUAUCCUGCACAAUUCUUUCGACGACGUUUUAGAAUGAACAAGCCGUUGUUCAUGCACAUUGUUGAUCGACUAUCCAACAAAGUUCAAUACUUUCGGGAUAAGAAAGAUGGUCUCGGAAGGAAAAGUCUCUCUCCCCUUCAAAAGUGUACUGCAGCCAUUCGUGUCUUGGCAUAUGGUUCUGCGGCUGAUGCGGUCGACGAAUACCUCCGGCUCGGUGAAACAACAACUCGGUUAUGUGUACAAAAUUUUGUGGAAGGAAUAAUAUAUUUAUUUGGCGAUGAGUACCUAAGAAGACCAAUACCAGCUGACCUUCAACGUCUACUUGAUAUUGGAGAGUAUCGUGGAUUUCCCGGGAUGAUAGGAAGCAUCGAUUGUAUGCAUUGGGAGUGGAAAAAUUGUCCCACCGCUUGGAAAGGGCAAUAUUCUCGUGGUUCGGGUAAACCAACGAUCGUUUUAGAGGCGGUUGCUUCGUAUGAUCUCUGGAUAUGGCAUGCGUUUUUUGGACCUCCAGGUUCCUUAAAUGAUAUCAAUGUUCUUGAUCGUUCACCUGUUUUUGAUGACAUAAUAAAUGGUCAAGCUCCGCAAGUUACCUUCGCUGUUAAUGGAAGAGAGUAUCCUAUGGCUUAAUAUCUCACUGAUGGUAUUUAUCCGAAAUGGGCAACUUUUAUCCAAUCUAUUCCACUACCACAAGGACCGAAAACGGUUUUAUUUGCUCAACAUCAAGAAGCUGCCCGAAAAGAUGUCGAGCGUGCUUUUGGAGUCUUGCAAGCUCGCUUUGCCAUUGUUAAAAAUCCGGCGCUUUUUUGGGAUAAAGUCAAAAUCGGAAAGAUUAUGAGAGCAUGUAUCAUACUCCACAAUAUGAUAGUAGAAGACGAACGAGAUGGAUACACCCACUUUGAUGUUACAGGUUUCCAACAAGGAGAAGACACCGGAACUUCACAUGUCGAUCUAACAUAUUCACCAGAUAUCCCUACAAAUAUCGCAAAUAUGAUGGGUGCUCGAACAAGAAUUCGUGAUAGACAAAUGCAUCAACAACUCAAAGAUGAUUUGGUUGAAGAUAUAUGGAAUAAAUUUGGACGUAACGAAGACAACAACUGAUCUCGGAUGUUUCUUUCAAAUAAUUCUCGUUUAUUUUAUGAAUCUUUGUUUUGUUACUUUUUUUUUAAAUCUAUAUUUAAAUGUUAUCUUGUAAUAUAUUUUAUGUAUUAAAUAAAUUUGAAGUUAAAAAAAAUUAUUAAAAAAUUUUAAGAUCCCUAUUAUAAGCAACUUGCAAUGGAAGAGAAUAAUUAUCAAGUUGCUUAGCUAAGUUGCUUACCAAAAAAAAUGCUUAAAUACUAAUAAUAUAUACUUAAGCAACCCAUUACCAGUUGUUAGGAUAACGGUGCUCUUAGUCCCGCAGGCGUUUUAAGAUUUACACAAGUCUCAGUCAAUUAUGAGACAUUCCUUCCGAGAAACUUGAACCAUCCAAUUUAAGAUUAAGCCAAGGUUGAUGGAUUGUGAAUUGUACAAAAAAGCAAAACCUAUAAAGCAUUUAGUACUAAUAAAGAUUUAAAAUGGUUAAUCUACCGAGAGCCUGAACACCACUAGCUGCCGUCGUACGAAAAAAAAAACGAAUUUGUACGAAUCGAACACCUAAACGUGUAAUAACUUUAUUGAAGACAAGAUAAAAAGUAAAAACAGAUUGGGUAAUAACGAGAAUUUUGUUUUCUGUCCGUUUCCAAUAAAUUCUAAGAUAUCCCAUUUAUUGCGACAGGAUUAUUUCGUGUUGAGAAAAUCGUGGAUGAAUGUCUUCUUUUGGUAAUAUUUCUAUGGCGUAACGCAGUGUAUUGAAUCGAAUAAAGGAACAUGCAUUAAAAUACGCCGCCUACUAACCUAACGCAUAACAUCUCUUUCGUCAACAACGCAUAACAACAAAACACAAGUAGAGUUUAGGUCGUCAUUCAUUUCUUUUAACCUUUUUCAUAAAGUAUUAGUAGUGUUAAUUAAGAUUAGUCAACAUUAAUGAUUGAUAAAAUGGAGGGAGUGGAGAUCACAUGGAGGAAGAUAAUAUAAAAAUCGAUUCCAUUAUACCUUUCCUUGGUCCAAAAGUAUUCCUCUUUAUCUCUUUUGACGUCUCACCUUCUUCCACCUCCACUCGCCACAUGUAAUCUAAUUACAUUUAACCCUUAAUCAUACGCUAAUCUCCUUUGUUGUUUCGUAUAUUUCUAUUUUGUGUCUCCAGAUACUGUAAGCAGAGGAAUUAACAUGGAGUCGAUGAAUCAGCCGACGAGCAUUGGUUAUGAUCAAUCACGGCGUAAGCGGAAGAAGAAACAGCCGUCACCACCACCGUCUCAAUCCUCGGUGCAGCUAUGGAGAUCAGAGAAGCAACAACAGAUCUACUCCACCAACAUCAUUCAAUCUCUAAGAGAACUCCGGAUUAGCGCCGCCGCCGCGGAUCAAUCUCCUUCGUUACCUCCUCGCGGCGGAGGUAUAACCGUACGCGACGCUGCUUACAGGUCUCUGGCGGUUACGGCGAGAGGCAGAACGCUAUGGAGCCGAGCUAUUUUAUCUAAGGCGGUUAAAGUGACUCUCAAGUUCAGGAAACAGAACCGGCCGAAAUAUUCGAAUCAUCCUCCGACGAUAACCGGGAAUAACCGGUUAAGGAAGAAGAGAUCAACGGUUUUGAGGCUGAAGGCGAAGGGUUUGCCAGCUGUGCAGAGGAAAGUGAAAUUGCUGAGCCGGUUAAUUCCUGGUUGCCGGAAACAACCGUUACCGGUGGUUCUAGAAGAAACCACCGAUUAUAUUGUUGCCAUGGAGAUGCAGAUUCGUGCUUUGAAUGCAAUUAUCUCCGCCGUUGGCUCUGGCUCUAGCGGCAGAGACAGGUCAUGAUGGCGAAGAGACACACAUGCUCGGUUAGUAUGGCCCAUCUGUCUUUUCGUAUUUUUCCUUUUUUUUCCAAAGAAUUAAAAUUUUUUACAUGUUCAUGAUUUCCUUAUGCUAUUUUAAUAUUAUGGUUAUUAUUCAGCCCCUCUCUCAUUUAAAUGUAUGUCCAUCUUUUUACUGGAUCCUUGAAAAAUGUACCGAAAUUUAUGCGUGGUUUUCUUGAGUUAAGCUUUGAUUUGUUAUGUGUGAAGUAUAUUGAUAAUGUUGCUGAUAUUGAAACCGAAGUCUUUAUUUUUUUGUUAUGUAAAUUAUGUUACAUGCUUGCGUUGUAGUUAUAAUGAUAUACUAUUUACCUUUCAUAAUACAUGAAGUGAAAGUAAUUGAGGAUAACGGAAAGGAGAUUUCAUCAUUUCAAACUUAUCUAUUCUUUGGUUUCAUAAUGUAGUUGCGAAUUCUUUUGAUAGAACUGUAAAAUCAUUUAAUAAGAACUGUUCUAUUCUGGUUUAUUCGGGUCCGAACAGUAGAGAUUGCUUUCUUUUGCCAUAAUUGCUUUUCAUUACGUCUCAACUUUUUUUGUCUAAAAAUACGAUUUGGUUGCAAGCAUUCAAGAAAUAUGUUCCAUAAUAAAUCCAAGUAAACACAACCGUGUUUCAAAAAAAAAAACACAACCGUGAGGUGAACAUGAUAUGACCAGAAUGAAUCUUGUUUCUUUGGAUUACAGUCUCCAAAGAAUCUAACAUAUGCAGGAUGUAUGCUUCUAAUGGUAUGCAGAUCAAAUCCAAAACACAUAUCAUGCUGAACAAAUACAGAUUUAACUAGUUAAUGUAAUUUAUCGAAUUAGUGUAUUUAACCAAAUGUUAAAAAUAAUUUGUAAACUAAAUAUCUAAAACAAAAAUACAAAUUCUUAUCAUUUAUUUUUUUAUUUUAUAAAUACAAAGAAAGUUUAAACAUUGUAUAAAAGGUAAACACAAUUACAACAAAAAUACCGUAAAACAAAAAAAAUAUAUUAUCAUUCUAAUAAAUAUAUUGAAACUUAAAAAUUAUAUAAAAUUCAUUAAGAAGACAAAGAGUAUUCCUUUUCCAUUUGAUUAUUUUAUAGUCCAAAUUAAAAUCCAAUUAAGAUCCAAAGACAUUAAUUAGGGCUAGACAUAAAAUCUUUAACCUGAAUUUUGAACCGAACUCGAACCGAAAUACUGACUCGUACCAAGUCCAAAAUGUAAAAAAUAUAUGAAUGGGUUUUAUAGGGUGUUAUAAAACAUAUAUGAACCGAAAGUGUUAUUAACCGAACUCACACAAGUGAAAAAUCUGAAAAAUAUCUGAAAAAACCCGAUCUGAAUGUUCAAAUUUAGAUAAAAUAUAAAUAUUUGAAAAAUAAAUAUUUACUUAAAAUAUUAAAUUUCAUAUUUAUUUUGAUAUGAUAUCUAUCAAUAAAUAUUUAAAAUGUAAAUAAGUAUCUUAAAUACUUCAUUCUAUGUAAAUAACUAUAUAUUUUUAUGUUUUUCUUUUAAAUUUAUAUUUUAUUUUGGAUAUAUCCGAACGAUAUAUGAUUAAUUUAUAUGGAAAUAUUAGUUACUUUUUGUAAAUAUUAUACAUGAUUUACUGUUCAUAUUAAAAGAAUCAAAAUAACAUGUAUAAUUUACAAAUUGCAACAAAUAAUUUGUAAAAAAAUUAUGAAUAUGCAAACUAAAUAUAUAUAAUUUUCUAUUAGCAUAUUUAUAGAAGAUAAUAUAAAUAAUAGUAUCUAUUUUAUAUAUCAUUGCUAUAAAUUAACUCAGCUAAAAAUAAAUUGUUAUAUAAAUAAGAAGUAAAAAUAUUAAAUCAUACAUUUGAAAUUUUUUUUGAUUAGUUUAAAAGUUAGUGAAAUGAGUUAAAUGAGUUUUUUAAUAAGUAACUAAUAAAAAAAACAUGCUUGUACGUUAUUGGUCCUCACAUCCCACCUGCAUCCGAACCUUGCCCAUUUUCUUCUUGUCCACGCAGUUCAAGAAUUAACACAUUCAUGUAUCUGCAUGCAGUUUUUCAAUUAUUUUAUAAUUUUAUUUUGUUCUGCAUUUUAAAUGUUGAAUGGAUAACAAGUGCAGUACAAACUGCAAAUUAAGUAAUCUGCAUUUAUUCUGUAUUUUGUUUUGCAUUUCAUUCAUAGCCGUAGUUUAUAUUUGUGUAAGAUGAAUCUGAACUAAUCAAUGUCAGAUCUUGGGUUAAUAUCUGAUGUGGCCAAACCCUUGUUUCUUUGCAAAGGGAGAAGGGGACAGACUGGACAGUGGAAGAAGAAUAGAUGGUUCUAUGUUUUUAAUAUUCAAUCCAAUAACUCCAUUUAGCUUAGUAAUAUCAUUUUUUGUGGUGUUAGAUGAAAUAUGGUUUUGUUACUGCUUUCAAAAGUCAAAACAAACACUAGAAUUCCAAACCGAUUUUUUUAUGAAGCCGACUUGCUAUUAGGCAAGGACAUCUCAAUUUUGUUUAUAAGUCACUCUGAAAUAGAGUAACUCUAUUCUAAAUUUAGAUUUGCUCCAGUUCACUUUAUAAUAAAGUUAUUCUAUAAAAAAGUGGAAUAUAGAGUAAUGUUCAGUUCAAAAAAAAGAAGAGUAAUGUUACUUUUUAACUCCAAAUAUAGAGUAAAAAACAACAUUACUCUAUAUUCCACUAUAUUAUUGAGUAACUCUAUUAGGGUAUUUCAAAUGGUACAUAAUAAUUUUUUCUAUAUUUCAUUCCAAAAUAGAAAAAUUCUAUUAUAGAGUUGGAUUUGCUCCAAUGGUUCACUAUAUAAUAGAGUGCCUCUAUAAUAGAGUGAAAUAUAGAACAUUGUUGUUUUUUUAACUCUAAAUAGAGUAAAAAAACAACAUUAUUCUAUAUUAAAAAAACAAUAUUACUCUAUAUUCCACUUUAUUAUAGAGUAACUCUAUUAUAGAGUGAACCAUUAAACCAAAUCCAACUCUAUAAUAGAGUUACUCUAUUUUAGAGUGAAAUAUAGAAAAAAUUAUUGUGUACCAUUGGAGAUGGUCUUAUAGAGUGAACAUUUGGAGAAAAUCCAACUCUAUAAUAGAGUUACUCUAUAAUAGAGUUACUCUAUAAUAGAACUCUAUGAUAGAGUUACUCUAUUUUAAAGUGAAGUAUAAAGAAAAUUAUUAUGUACCAUUAGAGAUAGUCUAAGUAAACUAUUUGGUUUCUAUAGCAACAGAUUUGUUUUCCUUUACUUUUUUGUUGUUGGCUAUAUAUUUAUUAGUCUCAUGGACCACAGUGGAUCAGAUAACAUAUACAUGGGUUUAAAAGCCCAAACUUUAAAAUUACAGGUACAUGCAGGUGAAUCAGAUCACCAUUACGUAUAGCUAACCCUUCAACUCAGCUCAACACGUCGAACAUGCGGGAUUCUGCAGAGAGAACGAAGAGGUCGCCGUCAUUCACCAUGACCUCCACCGGCCGCCGUGAAUUUUCCUUGUUUCCACCGAAUUUUCAGAACCUCAUUUUCAACACGGUUCUAUGAAUCUGGAUCCGACCGUAGCAAUUCAUCUGAGAUUUUCUUCCUCUCUAUUCCUAUACCUUCAACAAACGGCCAAGACAAACGUGUCCCCGCCUCCGACGAAACUCUUGUAUCGGAGAUCAAUUUUGCACCCACUUAGGACUUACGCUUUGACAGGACACGGUAUUACUCUACUGAAGCACAUAAGAUCAAGUCGAGUACAAGAGAGUAAGGGAUUUACAUAAAGCACAGAGACUGCUACUAAGAUCCGAGUAAAGAUCAGAAGAUUUUUUUUAUUUGUGUUCAAACCAUAUCAGAGGAAGAUAAAAUUGACAAACAAUUCUGAUUUGGUUGAACUAAACACUACAAAAUCGUUUAUGACGAAAACAAAAGUUUAUAUCAUUUGAUCGAAAGUUAUCUAACAUAAAAAAACAGAGCAAAUCUUAUCUUCUUUCUAAAAGAUUAGAGCCUGGUAAGAAACACAUGAAGAGAGAAAUUUUCUCUCUCUAGAGAGAAGAGAGAGAGGCACUCUGUUUGCCUUUACUUUUCAAUGGGUAUUUUUUUCACGAGUAAUUUUAUUUUUCCAUUCCAAAGAGAAGACGCUCUUUAAUACAACUAUUGGAGGUGGUAACUAAAAUCCACACCGGGGCAACUUACUGCAACAAUACAAAGGACUAACGCAGAAAUUGAAACUAGAAAAUCGACUACCAAAUACUUAAGAACAAUAAACACUCAAUUUUGUUACGAAAGAGGAGAUAUGGAAGAAGACGCAUUAUAUGUUAGAAGAUUUUCGUAAAGACUUCCUCGAAGUCUUUCAAAGUCUGACUCAAAUAUGAAAAACCUUCAUAUCAAAAAAUGUUCAAAUGACUUUAAAACAUAGAAAAUGAGUGAAAGAUUAGAUAAAUCUAACUUUAUAGAACACACAAAAAUACAUAUCCAAAAUUUAUUGAUCUAACUUUAAAUGAGUGGAAGAUGAGAACCAUGUAUUAAAAGACAUGCAAAACAAGAUAAAUUAGUAAGAAAGACAUGAGACAAAGAUGAGAAAUUAAAUAAAGUUUGGUAUUUCAAGUUCAAAAAGAUUAGAGAGAGGUUGGAGAGUUUUAGAGUGACAAACAUUACGUUUUGUUGCAGCCAUUUGAGAGGAAAAUAGAUAAUAUGUAAAUUUUAUUUAUAUAGUGAGACAAAAGUUUCUAACUAUGUUAAAUAUUUUUAAUUCGUAAGACUUUCAUGGAAGUCUUCUAACAUAAAAACACACAACAAGACUUCCUCAAAAUCUUCUAAUCUCGAUAAAAUAAGUCUUCUUACCAAACCCUAAAAAAGACUACAUAGAAGUUUUCUAGUGCAUUAUUUGUUAGAAGACUUAACUAAAAAUUAAAAUUUUUGCGGGAAACUAAAAUAAUUUUAGCGGGAAUUAUAAACUUCUAUAUUUUCAACUUGAAAUACUUCCUAAAAGUUUUCUAACCGAUAAAAUACUAUUCGUCAUAAGAUUUUUUCGAAGUCGUCUAGAUCCUAAAUAUAAAUUGUAAACUCAAAUAAUUAAUUAAACUUAAAUUCCACUUAAAAAUGUUUAAUAUAUACAAAACUAAAAACAUAUAGAUUAAAAUUUGAUUUUACAAAAAAAAAAUGUUUUGUUAUUAUUUUAAAAAAUAUAUAUAUAUAUGUUUUAAAAAUAUUUAUAAAAUAUUUUGCUCCAGGCAUGGCGCUGAUUAUUACAUAUUAUAUACAUAUAUAUAAAGUCACUCUUGCAAAACAAAAAAAAGCCCAAACACAUGGGGUUUUAGUGCAUCUGAACAUGGUAAAAGGGUCAUAAAUUUGUCGGCCAUAAAUUUCGCGUGGAAAUUGAACAUAUCAAGUUAUGCUCUUUGCUUGGGGAAAUGGUUUAUUCUCCUAUGAACUAGUUGUUCCUGGUUUUUUCACGCAUAAACUUUUAAGCCAUACCAAAAACCACAUGAACAACUCUAUCUUAUGGAAUUACAUACACAAACUAUCGAUUUUAAACUAAUUCCCCUAAAACCGUAAACGGUAUUAUUUAAACGUUAACUUGAUUUAUGACAAGUGGAGAGUCAGUUGAAUUUUUUUAUAACAUUUUAUCUUUAUUAAUAUCAAAAGAGGUUUAACAUAAUACAAGAAUAGAAACAUACAACAAAUACAUUUUUAAGUUGAACAUGAUAAUAGAAAUAUAAUAACACGAUGCUUCAUAACUCUUUUGCAAGAUAGACUGAUUCGCUAACUUUAUAUAUUUUUGUUCUCAGUCUUAAAUGAUCUUGUGUUCGGCUAUCAUGUAUUGUGAUCCAUCGCCUUUUGUCAUUUAAUAGAUCAGUGGGUGCGAUCCAUCUGUUACAUCGGUGCCCAUUCCAUACACUCCUGCACCAGGAGAUAACAUGAUUUGUUGUAGUCGCUAUACAUAUCAUACAUAAUUCCUCUAAUUGACAUUGAUAAAAAAAAUACUAUGCCAUUUUAUUCUUUUUCUUCUUUUUAGUCAAUUGUUCUUCUUCUUCAAAAAUACUAUGCAUAUCGAAAAAAUAUAUGACACUAAUUAUAAAAACAAUUAUCAAUAUAUAAAAAUAUUUGAACCAAUAUAUAUAAAUGUUUGAUCGAAAAGUUUAUUAUAGAAGUCUCGAUGUAUAUUGGUUCAAAUAUUUAUAUAUAUUGAUAAUUGUUUUUAUAAUUAGUGUCAUAUAUUCUUAGAUGUGCCAUAAUAUAAAUAGUUGUAUUCAAAAGAGCUGGACCGAAUCGGGUUAUAUGGUUAUUUUUGGUACAAAUAUCCGAAACCGUUUCAGAUACAUUUGUUAUUUAGAUAUUUUUAGGUUCCUAUACAUCAGAACCAAACUCAUCCAGACCCAGAAAAACCAAACUCAAAGCUCAUACAAAAUUUUAUAAUAUUCAAAUGGGACCUAAUUUCGAAACAAAAAAACCGAUAGCCGAAAUGAACAAACCGUACCUAAAUGGAUAGUCAAUGUUCAUGCCUAACUGAUAUUAUAAACUAAUAAAAAGAACUCUUUCUAUAAGUUUGGCUAAAUUAAGUGAAAAGAAAUAGUUUUUUAUUUAGUAAAAUAAUUAUGUGGAGUGAAAAAUUAAGUGACAAUAAAUGUUAUACAUUUUUAUUACUAGGGACAUUACCCCGCGCAAGCGCGGGGUUGUAGACAGAGUUCUUGUUUCAUCUCAACAUUUGCAAGGUUUAUUAUAGUUGUGAGUUUUGCGUUUUGUGUCGAUUAUUGUUUUUCAAAUUGUUUUAUUGUUAUAGGGUUAGAGUUGUGAUGAUGAACUGUGUAUGCAUUGUUCUCCACUUAUGAAAGACUAAACUAUGUUAGUAAUGUGAUUGAUAUAGUUCAUGGUGUUGCUUUUGUGUCACUGAGAUUGUUUAUUUGUCUUUUUAAUUUGUUUCUUGUACUGUUGAGACAUAAAUUAUAUUAAGGUUGUUGAGAGUACCUUUUGUUUCUGUUUUUUUUUUCUCCAAUUUAGUUGUGUAAGUUGUGUGUAUUAUGUAAUUAUUUUUAUUAUCCUUAUUAUGUUUUUUAUAUGUUUUUUUUUUAUUUUUAAACUUGUUGUUUUUACCGGACCUUUAAAACAAAUACAUGAAGACUUGCAGAUAUAACUAUAAAAUGAGUGACAAUUCUGAGUAUUUGAGCCUUAAUGGGUUUUAAACGAAUUUAUGUAUUUCUCAUAAGAAGACGAUAGCAUUGGCAUGUUGACAUUGGACAUGCAAGCUAUUUUUCAUAAGACAAGAGGAGUGAGCAGGUUGAGAUGUUGUUGUCGCCUUUGUGUCUGUCGGGAUUGUCUCUUGUAUCUCAUGGUGUGGCUGUGUUUGUUUCUCUUUUAUUUGAUGGGUAAUAUGUACACAAAAAUUAUUGUUAGUUGUAUUUAUCAGAGUUCGUAACUUACUCUGUUUUUUGUUUAGGUAAUUUCACUGAUCUUGGUUGUCGUCUUCGUCUUCUUCGUAAACAUCUGCGAAAGUAAGUUUGUAAAUUGUUAAAUAGCUCGAUGUGUAGUUUGUAUUUGUUUUGCUGACUCGAUGUAUGCGUCGUUGAGUUUUAGUUGAGGUGAUUGGUUUGGUAUAUUUGUUUGAAGUUUAUUUGUAAGAUUAGACAAAAAAGAGAGGUGAUCAUUAAUGAUUCGUCUUUUUGAGAUUCUAGUUUUUGGUGUUUUGAUUGUUUGGCUUGUUGUGUUUCUGUUAAGCCGUAAAAUAAAGGUUUGUGUAAAAUUAGUUUGAUAAGUAAGGGAUAUAAAUAGACGACCACAGAUCUUGGGUAGGAAAUAUUUUUUGAUUAUUGAUGUUAGCACAAUAUAGACAGUAAUAUAAAGAGAAUUGUGUGUUGAUUGUUUCUUACGGAUCAAUGAGGAGACAGAUAACGACUCGAGUUGUUUCUUUGGUGAGGUCAGAGCCCUGGAUAGAACAGAUUUGCCCAAACACAUCUGCGAGUUUAAAUAUCAGUUAUGAUAUAAAAACAUAAUAUAAACUCGUAUGCAAUAUGAUAAUAUGCCUGGGAGUUCUAGGUUUGUGUUUGCAAUAACUUGGAGAUUGUCGAACAGACUAAUCUUGACUGGAGAUUGAUCUCAGGAGCACCCGUGGUGACUUCAUCAAUAAUGGUUGGUGAGAUGAAACGAAUGAGGAAUGGAUGAUCAGUUAUCUUGUACAUGCUUGAGCAUCUAGCAACCUCAAAACUAUCGACUUUCACAAUGGAACCGGCUUUCAAAGAUUACAUGUAAUGAUUAGCACUCCGGCGGGAAUAAACCCAUGAAUCACGAAAUCUGUAAAUAAUAUUAUACAACAAAGAAUCAGGAAAUCAAUUAAAAAUAAUUAUGUUAAAUAAGUGUGAUAGAUUGAAGAUUUACUUGUCUUUUAAUCAAGGAAGAGAACUGUGAUUCCCAUAAACUCACUGUCUUUCUAGAAGUUCAGGGAAUCUCAGAAGGGGAGAAGGCCAGAGGCUAUGCUCUGAUUACUACGACGAAGACAGAGAAACUCGAAGGUUGAGUGACGGACGCCGGGGACGCCGGUUUGAGGAACUAGAGAGGCAGAGAGAGACAUUUUCUAGAAGAUGGUUAAAGCUAAGUGGAAUCAAUGAGUUUUAUGGAGAUGCAGAUUGGGUUCAUCAAAGAUAAGAAUCAUAUAUAUAGGGGGCUAAAAAUCAGGAAUGUUUAUGAUCAAUCGAUUUAAGAUGGCGAGAUGAAAAGUUCACCGGUGAAAAAAUAGAUUACGAACAGACACACGACGCAACUCUGUAACUCAGACUUGUCUGAGACAAAAAUGAAAAGAACCAUAACUCAUGUUAAAUGACGACAGUUUACAAUAUGGUUCUUCAUAUAACGUGAUGAAUCUCAUUUAAAAAUGAAAUCCAUAAUACACUUGCAGUCUCGGCUCUCAGAGGAAGCCGAAGAAGCAACGGCUUCUGACCUUCAUAAAUAUAUAUUAGGUUCGACCAUCAAUGUACAAAGUUUCCUUUAGCUUAGUAGUAUAAAUGUUUGUGUUUAUAUCUCAAUAACCCGGGUUCAAGCCAUGGGCUUGACACUUUUUCACACUUUUUAAAAGUGGGGCCCAUAAAACGCUGACGUGGCACGCUGAGGAGUGAGCAAAAACUCAACUAUCAUAAUAUAGAUUUUGAUUUAAGUUAUUAUUUUAUUCACAAAAUAUGUCCUAUUACAUUUUUAUUAUUUUGAUUUAAGUUAUUGUCUUGCUAAAUCAAAUGUAUCUUUUUUUUUUUGGUAAACAUGUUAAGCUUGUAUUACCAUUUUCAAAUUUGUGACAGAAGUUACAAUGACAAACUAGUAGCAGAAACAACAACAGAAAGAAACUACAUAUAACAACAACGAAAAAACAAUAAGAAAAACACGAUUUAGGCUUAGAAAACAAGAGUUAGAGGAAAGACCACUCGGGAAGCACUUAAAAGGAUUGGUCGGAGAGCGCAACACGCAUGAUCAGGAGUUUCAAGUGAAAACACUAGUAAACAUAUGAGAACGAGCUGAUAUAUAAUGGCUUGCCCAGGCACUCGCCUCCAAAAAAAUAGCCUCACUACAAAGCCCUACCACCUGCAGAUGCAAAGACACCAUCGGAACAAGGAGGUCACAGUAGACGACAAUGGGACUGCACCGAGGCGGCAAACUGACGAACCAGAGCCUGUCGAAGCUGCAGCCACCAAACACCGCAAACAGCCACCUCUACUCACCCACCUGAAGAUCAGAGGCACCACACUACUCCAAUAACCCUAAGACCCCCACUGGAUCCACCAAUACCCAGACUUCAGCCUGAAACCGCUCUUAUUUGGAAAGACUAAUGGAUGAUAACNNNNNNNNNNNNNNNNNNNNNNNNNNNNNNCGCUCUUAUUUGGAAAGACUAAUGGAUGAUAACCCACCAAAUCCACCAGACUCUGCACGGGGAAAAGGACGCUAACACCAAAGGGCAAGAAACCGCAGAACUACACCCUAUCUUCAGAGGCGCUAGCAACACUCGCUGCCACCGGGAUUGCAGACCAAGGACGACUACAACAACCUAGACCAACAAUAACCCGCGCGAGCGACUGACCCCGAGAACCGGAGCCUGACCCCGAGAACCGGAGCCUGACCCUUCACCACAUAAAGAAGCUCCAGCCACCCGCAUCAUCAGAACGCCACCUCUGAUUUAGCGAAGAAAGAGAGCCCAGUCUUACCUCGAGAUCCAGGCAGCAAAGCCUUCUAGCCACAAGGAGCUGCUGCAGCAAUCUUCAUGGAGAAACUGCCGGCAGAGAAUCAUCACCACCACCAGAGCACCCGAUUGAGAUCCAAAAUCGACUCCAUGACCAGCCACCUCUCACUGGUGAUGAGAGACAGAUGGAUUUGGAGAGAGAUCGCAAAGACGAGCAACCCCAACCGAGAACGAGGGUUCUUGUAUCGACCACAGCUAACUAACGCCGAAGGAAGCGUCGGAGACCCAGAACACCACCACCGGAGCACCAUCGCCCACCCUUGCUAGCAGAUCUGGCCAGAUCUAAUGCAAUGUCUCGAAUUCACCCUCGGAAGAGCCACCAAACCUCACUCUCACAGCCGCGCCUCACCACCGCUCCAGAAACCUCACCACCGGACAGUGACGCCGGAGAGGGGAGGGAGACCACAAUGGAGAGUAUAUCGGCGGAGCUAGAGAGAGGAAGAAUGAGGCGAGACAGGGGAGAAGAGGGAAACAGAGAGAGGAGGAGAGACAGCCGGCAGCGGCGGCGGUAGAGAAACCACCGGAGGCCACCACCGGCUGAGAACGGCAGUAAAUUAGGGUUUUGAAACUUCUGGUAGAGAGAAGGGAGAGGGAAGGGAGAGAGAGAGGCCCAAUAUCAAAUCAAAUGUAUCUUAACAUACCACUUUCUGAUUUCAUAUAAUUUUUACCAAAAACCGAUAUCAACCACUAAUACAAUUUACAAAUAACUAAAAUACAUAAAAACCAUAAAUUUAAAAAUCUAUAAAGUUAGCUAAUAUAUGUUCAAUCAGUUUAUUAUUAUUUUAAGAAAAAAAACUUUCAAUGAGACACGAUAAACGAAAUUUAUUAAAGAAAGAACAAUGACAAGCUUCAUCAUCAUCUUAUGGAAUAAAUAAUAGCAUUAUUAGCGGCUUUCUUCAUACGUGACUCGAGCUUCAUCGCCGCAAUCUCGUCUUGAGCCUUCAUCAACGACUUCAUCCUUGAAGCCGCGGAGCUGGAUUCUCGAUUCUCCUCCUCUUCCUUCUCAUAAUCUUCAUCAAGGGCGCAAGAAUGCACAUGCGUACCGUAAUCACAUUCUUUGCAGUAAUAAGUCCAAAGAUUCUCCGAUACCUCUUCUUCACAAACAUCACAUACGUACAUCUUGCCAUCUUCGCAUGGAAUCUUGUAAAGUAGAGUGAGUGGGUGUUUGUGGUCUUCACGAUCCACGGUCUCAGGGAUGAAAGCACAUCCGACAUGAACGUCGUAUUUACACACAGAACAAUUGUAAGUGAAUCCUGAUCCGUACUCACCGCAAGCGUCACACUCGUAAGACUGAUGAUCAUAAGAUGGGGAAUAAAACAGGGUUAUGGGAUGGUCAGGAUGAGACUUGUGAUUGAUUUCACGAGGUAGGUCAAAACAUGACUUGUGCAAGAAGUAAUCACAGUCCUUCGUACACUUGAAAGCUUGUCCGGUUAGGUCGAGCUCGCAUCCUGAACAGAUAAUCUCAUCUUCAUUUUGGGCCUUAAAGACGCGCAAUGGAUGGUUGUGACUCGGGUGCCUAACUGAUGGGCGGUUAACAGGUUUUUUGGAAGCCAUAUGUGGUUUGGUUGUUUAAGUGGAAGAAAAGAGUUUAUGAACUAUAAAUAGAAAAAUCUGGAGGAGUUGUGGUUUCUAGUUUUGGCUGAAUUAUAUCAAGUUGGUUUUUAUUAUUUACCCUGUUGUAGCUUAACUUAUCAUUAUUGAUUCCACUAUUGAUAGUAUAACAUAUAGAAGGCGUUUGACAUGAAAGAUGCUAAGUUUGCAGGCCAAACUAUAUUAAGAUAUAUGAUAUAAAUAUCAAAUUUGGGAGAUUGUUAGGAAGUAGUGCCAAACCACUAGAUGUCGUGGGCAGAGCUGUGCUUACUGUGUAUCUGAAUAGGCAUAGUUGCCAUAGGCCCCAAAUUGAGGGUGUACACGGAGUGAUUAUCCGUAAGCCAUUCCACUCGGUACGAGCAAUCGAUUUUUUGAUUCGAUUUUAUCCGUAAUUUUUAAGAUAUCUGGUGUUUUGGAUAUCCAGAAAAUCCGUAUUUUUACCAGAUCUCUGAUUUGAUCCAUAAAAAGAAGAAAAUUUUGAUAUAAAAUAAUAAUAUUUCAUUACAAAUUGAAGAAAAUACAUACUUUUAAAAAAUUAAUAACUAAAUAAUUAAUUUAGUGGAUAAACAUAUUAUAAAACUCAUAUAAAGAUAUAAAAUUAUAUAUGUAUAUAUAUAUGUAUAUAUAAAACUUUAUAUACAUAUAUUUAUAAAAUAAUAUAUAUAUAACUUUACAUACAUAUAUUUAUAUAACGGAUCGGAUCAGAUAUCCAAUUUAAAAUAAUAGUAUUUGUGUUUGCUCUGUCGUUAACUGAUAUUUAAUUUUAAUAUUUUCUUUGAUUUGCAAAGUUACGGAUAUGUGAAUUUUCGGAUUAAAAUGAAUAACAGAUCGAAUCAAAAUUUAUGGAUAUUUUGUCCAACUCUACCCAAAUAUACUUAAAAUUUAUGAGUCCCCAAAUUUACCAAAGUGCAAUAGCCCCACGUUCGAACAUUUGUUGUGUUUUCUUUUUGUGAAAAAUACAUAUAGAAAAAAAUGUUCCAAAAAAAAGAAAACAGAAAACAUAAAUCUUAAUUACAUUUUACAUCUGCUUUCAUGGAAUUAUCUUCAUGGAUGUUAUCUGAGACUCUUCGUUUCUCCACCCAGAUCAUCCAGAUGGAUAAUCUAAAUGAACUUUUGUUCGUUUGUUCAUCUCUAUUUACAUCUAGAUGGUUUUAGUAAAAAAUGACUUAUAUAUCCUUGUUUUGGUUCAAUAAUAUUUUUAUCUUUGUUUAACUAUAAUAUUUUUUUGUUAAUUAUCUAAAAUAUAAUUAUUUUAAAAUAUGAGUGGCGGGAAAUAUAAUCUUGCGGUUUUGGCAGAAAAAUAUUUUUUGUGAUUUUAGCGGGAAAAAAAUGUUUUUGCGAUGGUAGCGGAAAUUUGAUUUUUUGCGGUUUUGGCGAAAAGUACAUUUUUACCGUUUUGGAGUGAAAAAAUGUUUUUUUUUUUUGCAGUUUUGGGAGGUAAAUGCAUUUUUGCGGUUUUGGCGAAAAUAUGUUUUUUGCGGUUUUGACAGGAAAAUGUAUUUUGUGAUUUUGGAGGGAAAAUGUAUUUUUGUGGUUUUGGCGAAAAACUAUAAGUUUUAAGUUUUUUUAAAAAAUAUAUCAUAAUUAUUUGUUUGUAUAAAUUUGAAUAUAAACAUAUAUUAGAAUGAGGGUAAAUUCGUCAUUUGUUAUUUUGGACAUAUUCAUCUCCAUCCAGAUGCACCAAUUAAACUCGUUUGGAUGAGUUUCAUUUUAGCCUAAAUUUUUAAAACUCAUCUAGAUGAAUCAUUUGGAUGAUGUUCUGGAUCAUUCGGACGAUGUCCAUUUUAACACCAAACGAACGUCAAUCUAUCGUUAUUCAGAUGGUCGAUCCUUAUUCGUCCAACACAUUGAUUUCUUUCUCCCAUUGUAAGAAAAUAAAAUAAAAUACUGUAACUUGCAAAAUUUCUCUAAACCUUUUAUUUGUGCCAUGCAUUGUGUAUGGAUUUGAUUGUUUUAGUGAAAGAAGAAUUUAGGAACUAUAAAUAGCAAAUUAUGUAGAUGACUUUUAAUUUCUAGUUUUGGCUACAUAUAUUACUCGUAUUGAGAUGGUAACUUAUUAGCAAGACUUUUUUUUUAAUCAAAAAUAGUUCAGAGACUGUUUCGGAUGCAGUAACAAGCAACAUACCAUUUUUGGGGUCUAAAAGUUAAGAUUCAUACAAAUUUUCUGUUUACAUAGGGUUGGCAAACGACUUAUUACACAGGUUAGAGAGAGAGAGAGAGAGAGAGAGAGAGAGAGAGAGAGAAUCAGGUUACUGGAUUAAGUAUGCAUGACUCGCUGGAAAGGAGAUUAACUACAGAACUAUCUAGGGAUCUAGUGAUGUAGAUUUCUCUCAAUUGUGCCCAAAUCUUAAGACACUUGGAAUUACUCAUCUACGUUUACACUGUUUCCUUUGAGAAACAAGGGAUUUGACUGUAAUCAUACAUUUAUUAGAUUACAUUAUUGACUAAUUAUUAGAAACAAGGGUUUUGACUGUAAUCAUACAUUUAUUAGAUUAUCUAGGUGAUGUUCGUUUGUCCAUCUGUCUUUGUCAUCCCGAUCAUCCAUUUAAAUGAUCCAUUUAGAUGAUCCAUCUCAAUGUUAUUCGGAUUCGGACUGUUCGUUAUUCCAUCCAAAUAGUUCAUUUAGAUGGAUCAUCUAAAUGAACUUAUGUUCGUUUGUUCUUCUCUAUUUUCGCCUAGAUGAGUUUAAUAAGAAAAUGACUUAUAUACCCUUGUUUUGAUUUAGUCAUAUUUUAUCUUUAUUAAACUAUAUUAAUUUCCGUUAAUUAAUCAAAAUAUAAUUAUUUUAAAAUAUGGUUUGGUGAGAAAUAUAAUUUUGCAGUUUUAGAAAAAACAUAUUUUUUGUUCUGGCGGGAAAAUAAAUUUUGCGGUUCUGGUGGAAAGACGCGUUUUUGUGGUUUUGGUGGAAAUACCUUUUUGCGGUUUCAGCGAAAAAAAUUGUUUUACGGUUAUGGAGGGAAAUGCAUUUUGGGCGUGAAAAUGGGUUUUUGGCGAAAAAUGCAUUUUUCCGGUUUUGGCGAAAAAAAUUAGUUUUGCAGUUUUGGCGGGAAAGUAAGUUUUUGUGGUUUUGACAAGAAAAUACAUUUUUGUGUUUUUGGCGAAAAAUGUUUCUAAACUUAAAUAAAAAUAUUUUAUUAAAAUAAGAGUAAAUUCAUCAUUUUUAUUUGGAAAUGUUCAUCUCCAUCUAGAUGCACCAAUUAAAUUAAUCUCAAGUAGCCAUCUGGAUGAGUCUCAUUUUAGGCUAAAAUUUUAAAACUCAUCUCGAUGGAUCAUUCAGAUGAUUUGUUAUUUUAAGUUUAAACGAAAAACAAUCUCAUCUCCAUCCAAAUUGAUCAUCUGGAUGGUGAAACGAACAUGUCCCUAUUCAUUAGAAACAAUACGAAAAAGCUAAUUGAGCGAUUUGCUUAAAAUGACCUAAAAUUUGAUUUCAAAUGCAAAACUAUAUACAAAUUCAAUAAAAUGAAAAAGUAAUCCAAAAGGGUAGUGACUCGUGUUUUGUUGAUCAUAACGAUGGACCGUUUGCGACAGGAAUGUUGUUUCUUGUGUCGGCAUAAGAUAGCUCUGUAGAAAGACAAUCAAUAUGAAAGUGUUGUGUAACGUUUUUUUGACUAAAACGUUUUUGUAUAUACCACGAAAAUGGAUAUACAAAAACGUUUUUUUGACUAAAACGUUUGUGUAUAUACCGCGAAAAUGGAUAUACAAAAACGUUUUUUUGACUAAAUAGUGAAGUUGUUCGUAGCUGUUGAAUGAGUUAUAUAUAUACAGUAAUGUAUCGAACACAGUGUCUUUGAUUCCAAUUCAUACUUCUUUCCGUAAAUAUUUUUAUCCGAGUAUCCUUUUCCUCUCUUAAAUUCAUGUAUAUGGUCAAAAAUCAUGUAUAUGGUCAAACUUUUAAGUUAAGGAACGUAAAUUAUAUUGACAUUUUAGGUUGACUCAUUUGGGUCAUGUUCGUAUUUUCAUUGGAUACUUAAUUUACAGAAUAUUUAAUGAGAGCUUUACAUUCUGACCUACUUUGAGCUUCAACUAUUACCUUUUGACAUACUUUAGCCAUGAGGUGUACUUUAUGUCUUUGUUAGGGCUGAUUUAUGACAAAAAUAACCUCACUAUGGGAAGGAGAACCGCGAACUCAUUGGAUUAAUUGUUAAUAUUUUUAAUCUAAUGAUGGGGUUAAAGAUAGUACACUUUCAAAAAAGGGGACGUUAACGUAAAUUAAAUAAUAAGUUUCUUCUUUUUUGGUGGAUGACGGAACAUGGGUUGAUGUUUGUUGGUUCUGUGGUCAGGGUUGUUGUCGAUGGAAGGGUCUGUAUGCAUGUUGUUAGCGUCUGAGGUUUUGUGGUUAGAGACCGAUGAUUUGUGGUCAGAAUUAGAGGGUAUGGGUGGAGAGUCUGAAAUUAGGUGGUCAGUGUCAAAGUUCAAGGUUAUAUGGUCAGGAGAAGUUGUGAUGUGAGCAAGGUUAGAGGCGUUGUGGUUAGGCGAGACAGGGAUUUGUUGGUUCUUGUAGUCAGGGUUGUUGUGGAUGGAAGGUUCAGUGUGCAUGUAGUUAGGAUCAGAGGUUUUGUGGUUAGAGGCUAAGGAAUUGUGAUCAGGGUUAGAGGAUCUGUGGGAAGAGGCAAGUUAUGUGGUCAGGGUUAAAAGUAGGGGUGUCAAUUUCGGGCUGGCCCGGCCCGGCCCAAACCUGCUAAGCCCGUAAAUAUUUGAGUCUGGUCUGGUCCAGCCCGGAAAUAUUUUGGUCCUAGAGUUCAAAGCCCGGCCCGACUCUUAUAGGGCUAUAGGUUUUUUCGGGUUUUUUUGAGCUUUUCGAAAAAUAAUUUGUUAUUGUUACUUCCAUGUUUUAAUACAUGUGAAUUUUAAUUAAAAAAAAACAGUUUCAUUUUUAAAAAAAAAUAUAAAGUGAGUUUAAACUUUUUUUCUUUAUCAAAAUUUUUGUACUUUUUCGUAUACUUUAAAAACAUAUUAUAAACAAACUAAAUUUAAUAAGAUUUAAAUAAUCAAAUAUAAUUAAAACUAAACAUAUAAUAGCACAAAAUAUGUGAUAAACAUGGUCAAACGUUUUAUGCUUUGUAUUUUGAAAUAAAAAAAACAUAGUAUACAUGAAAGAAGAAGGUACAUUUGUAAAAUUUAAAAUGUUACACUUGUAAUGAUCAACCAAUAAAGCGCAUUAACAACUUUUAUAUUUACUUUAUAAGAGUUUGGAUAAAAUAUUAAAAUAAUAUGUUAAUAUUAAUAAUGAUUUUGAUUGCAAGAACGUUAAUAUUUAAGAUAAAGUAUAAAAUUUCGGAUUUUUGGACUGGCACUAGCCUAAACGGGCUUAGGCCCAAAAACCCAAAGCCUAAAUGGCUUAGCCGGAAAAACCUAAUUUUUUUGGAUUUAUAAAAUUAAACCCAAACAAAGUAAUUUUUAGGGUUAGGCGGAUUGGACGCUUCGGCCCUAAUUGACAUGUCUAGUCAAAAGGGAUAUGAGCAGGGUUAAAGGUGUUGUGGUUAGGCGAGAUGGUCAUGUGGUUAGAGCCAACGUGGUCAGUGGCAUGGUGGUUUUACGUACUCCUCCGGCGAAGCCAUCACCUCCACGAGAACCUUUUUCCUCACCACCUCCACCAAUUGAAAAUCCACAUCACUUGAGAACUCUCCACCUCCACAGCAUGAUCAAUCUGCAAUUUCACCACCAUCAUUUCUGCCACCGGAAAUAUCUCCUCCUUCUCCCCAUCACAUGACCCACCAUUAAACCCACCACCACCAUCAUCUGAGAUUUCUCUCCCUCCACAUCCAUAACAUGAUUAUUUUCCAUUUCACAACAUCUCACUUCCACUAUAGGGAAAUUUUCAUCCACUACUGUAAUAAAAAAAAAUUGAUUUUUUUUAUCAAAGAAGAAGCAACGAAGAGGCAAAGAAGAGUCGUGAAAUUAAAGGGAUGCUUUGUGCUUAGGUCUCAGAGUGCAAGUCUAAAGGUCUUUUAGGCAUUUUACAAGAGAAAAGUAUGUCACAUGCACAAAGUAAGUCAAAGUGUAAAAUGAAAGUCAUAAAAGUAACUCUAAGCGUAAUUUUUUCAACUUUAAUGCUGAAAAUCAUGAAAAUUAUUACGAUAAUCAUCGUAUAUUAUACUUUGUGAUAAAUAUGAUUAGUUAGAGAUAAUGUUUAUCGGUUUGAUAAGCCGACUUAUGUGAUGUAUAUAUACUUUGCCUUGAGCACAUUAAUAAAACAAGUCUUAUAGUUAAGUUCGAUAUCCUCUUCUACAUGGUAUCAGAGCUUACGUUCAUUCAAUAAAAUUUCUUGUUUCGUGUUGGUUUUUUUGUUCAAAGUUCGUCAGUGACGAUGUCAGGAGAUGAUCCUAAAGAUGAUUUAACUUCAGGAUCAAGUGUAAAAACCAGCGAGAAGGCAGAAGUUUCUCCUUUAACGCCAUAUAGUCUUCACAGUUCUGAUAACCCUGGUGCGAUGAUAACUCCGGUCAUGUUGAACGGAUAAAACUAUAAUCUUUGGGCAAACGAGAUGUUGAAUGCACUCCAGGCCAAGCGUAAGGUGGGGUUUGUUAAUGGAAUGGUGAAGAAGUCUUCAAGUGAAAGUUCUGACUAUGAAAAUUGGGUGGCAGUUAACUCAAUGGUUAUAGGUUGGAUACGUACGUCAAUAGAUGUUAAAUUAAAGUCUUCGGUUACUUUUGUUUCUGAAGCAAGUCAGUUGUGGUCUGGACUCAAACAACGUUUCUCCGUGGGGAACAAGGUUCAGAUUCAUCAGAUAAAGGCGCAACAAGCAGCUUGCAGACAAGAAGGACAAUCUGUUCUAGAGUAUUAUGGACGGUUGUGUACUUUGUGGGAGGAGCUAGCUGUCUACAGACCAUUGCCGAUGUGUACUUGUGGUGGUGCAGAAGAAAUCAGACAGGAACGUGAUGAUGACAAAGUACAUCAGUUUAUCAUGGGGCUAGAUGAUUCGCGUUUUGGAGCUCUGUGUACUACUCUCAUUGGUCUGGAUCCACUGCCUUCAAUUGGUGAAGUUUACUCAAAAGUUAUAAGAGAGGAGCAAAGGCUGAACGGUGCUCGUGUUCAGGAGCAGCAACAAGAUGCGUUAGGCUUUGUCACACGCCAUUCUACUACAUCUGAUGAGGCUCAGAAUAGCUCUCGGUCAGACUCUUCGAUUUUGCGUAACAAAGACAGAACAUGCUCUCAUUGUGGACGUUCAGGUCAUGAAAAGAAAGAGUGCUGGCAGUUGGUUGGUUUUCCAGACUGGUGGGUUGAUCGUUCUGAACGUGGUGGUGCGAGUAGAGGACGAGGAAGGAGCGGACGCGGUUCUAACAGUGCUGGACGCGGUAGAGGUCUUGCUUCUGUAGCUCACGCUACAAGCUCCAAUGCAUCAGCGUUUCCUGAGUUUACACAGGAGCAAUGGAAGGUUCUUCCUCAGAUGAUUCACGAGAAAUCUAGUGCUGACAAGUUGUCUGGUAAGGCCAAGUUUUGUGAUGUUAUUCUUGACACCGGGGCCUCCCAUCACAUGACUGGGGAUCUCUCGUGUCUGAAGGAUGUAGUGUCUAUUCCUCCGUGCUAUGUUGGAUUUGCGGAUGGCAAUAAAACUUUCGCAAUGAGCAUGGGAACCUUUCCAUUAUCCAAGAAAAUUUCUUUGAACAGAGUCCUCUAUGUUCCCGCUCUAAAUUGCACGCUUAUUUCUGUUUCGAAAAUCUUGAAACAAACUGGUUGUCUUGCUACCUUUUCUGAUACUGUUUGUGUGUUGCAUGACCGUUUCUCGAGGACUCUGAUUGGAACGGUGAGGAGCGUGAUGGGGUUUACUUUCUGACGGAUGUGGCUACUGCGAAGGUUCACACUGUUGACGUCUCU